rnacentral:lncRNA from 1 species
UUAGCUUGGAUUGUUGCUAAGAUCAUCACGAUGUUCCCCUGCGGCAGAACCAAGAAAACAGAAUCGGUGACACGGUCAAUGCUCUGGAGUUAAUUAACUAUCCAACUCUCCUGACAUUCAUAAGAAUUAACUGAAUGAAUUGACAAUGCCAGUGGACAGAUGCAAUUUAUAAAGUUCCAUCCAGCUGGUGCUAGACCCCACUCUUCAGGGCCUCCCCAACCUGAUCCUCCAAGCCUAUGCAGAUCCUCCAUUCCAGCAACAGAAGCUGCUGUCCAGUGCUACCUAUAGCUUCUCAAGAACUCCACCAAGGUGCAAUCCUUCUUCAGAGAACGACUGAACUGAUGCAGCAGUUCGAGGUGAAGAAAUUAUAGAUGUACAGUAGUGUGGUAACUAGUAGCUGUGCAUGCACCUGCCGUUCCAUGGACAACUCAAUCUCACCCACCGGUCUAUAUUCAAACUAGUACUCUGAAUUCUCUUGCCCUAUAAGGACCAGUUUGAGCAUACACAUGGCACCAAACUGAGGCGACUACUGUUCAGUUUGCUCCAUUACAUCAACCAUGAGCUCUGGUACAGCUGCAUGCGAGCUUUGCACCAAAGAGCACAUCAUACGGUUUAAGGUGAAGAGAAUUUCAACUGGAUCAAUUAAUCUGGAUGAUGAACUUACUUUCAAUCUGAUGCGGGUGUGAUCAGAGUGACUUUCAACUUAAUUCUACAGCUGUACAGUCACAGAACAGGCAUGGUGCUGUCCUGCUCAAGACAUGAACACAAUGUGCCACACCAUGGCAAAACUCUUUGUAUUUAAUAGUGCAAAUUUUAUUUCUCGAACUUUUGUUCAGAAUGUGCACUGCAUGAAGCAUUAUUAAUCCUUAAAAUAGUUGGCAGACAAAGGAAAAUAAUAUAAGAGCUCGUUCCAAGCAGUGCAACAUGAUUAAAAACGGUGUCAGUACAGAAGAACAAAAAGGUAUUCAUAAAUUUUCAGAUUGCAGUAUCAGUCCAUAUCCUACAAGAAUAUUAAAAUUUAAAACUCCUCAGAACGAGACAAAUAUAACUAUGUACUCCCACCGUCCUAAAAUAAGUGCCGCAGAUUCAGUACAAAGUUGUACUGCUUUGUACUGAAUCUUUAUUUUGGAACGGAGGGAGUACAAUUCUUGCUAUAAUGAUGACCUUAUUAGUCUCCAUAAUAACUACCUAACCAGAUGCAAUUGAUUCAUAAAGAAUAACGAAUUAUGAAUUUAGGACAGAAGGUUCCAUUGAGAAGUUGACUCGUACGUGACCUAAUCAGGGUUUUGGGUACUGCUCGGAAAAUUCAGAUUCCGCCCGAUAUCCGCGUUUCCCAGUACCCCAUGAGAAAUCUACUUCCCGAGCAAAAAAUUCCUAACUUUUGCAUUUGAAUGGAUUUCGAAUGAAUUCUAGACGAAUUUUGUUCGGAUUUAGAAUUCAUUUAAAGAAAUUCGUCCGAAAUUUGCUCGGAAUUUCAUGGUAACCGUGGCAUCAAGUUUCUUUGUGACCCACGAGAAAAAAGUGCCCCUCGGUAGCCAAAACCUUGGACCUACUGACUAAGUGUUCAAGGUCUUCUAAAAAUCAGACGCAGCUUGCAAGUCAACAAAGAGGAAAAUCUGCCUCUUUGCAUCGUCAGCUACUCAGCCACAAGAAAGGGUAGAAACAGGGAAUACUCUAUAUAUCAAUUAUUAAGAAGACCACUAGAUAAAAAGGUAAGGUCAAUUAUUCAGUUCAAAGAAGAGGGAUAUGAGACAUAUACCACAUAGAUUGCUGACAAUUGAAUACUAAGAAGACAACUAGAUAACUAAAAUAAUCGCAAAGCCAAUUCCCUCAAUUGAGUACUAAGAAGACCACUGAAUAAUUAAAAUAAGCAAAGCCACUUCCCUGGCCCAAUUGAGUACUAAGAAUAAGGGGAACAUUGUAUGAUUACGAUAAAGCAAAGCCAAUUCCCCAGCCCUAGAAAAUAGACAUAUGAGGCGGAUCAGUUGGCGAAUAUUUUAAAAGCUGAGCAUUCAACACAGCAUUGGUCACUUCAGUCCAAAAGGGCACCGGGGAAAGCACAGAUUUCAUCUAACCACAUAACGGUCAGAGUUUCAGAUCAUAGAAUGUAUACAUCGAUGCAAAAAAGAAGAAGAGGACAGUAGCCUCGUAGUUAAUCUAAUUCAAAGAUACUUCAGCUCAUAACUUCAUAAGGAAACAAUAGGUAGGCCGUAAAGAAUCGCCACCUCACUCAACAGCCAUCAGACGAAAGGCGAAGCAUUCACAGCAUAACCUUUUAGAGCCGGAAAAAAGGUAUGUUUAACAAGACUUUGCUUGAGCCUACACCGAGACACAUAGACAUCUUCAAACCAAUGACUGAAACUGUUGAUCAACUUGCCAUCAGUGUCAACAUGAAGCAGAUGCCCACCAAAUCUGACAAGCAAGAGCACGUCACCAUCCCCCGAAACAAUGUCCACAUUCCAAUCCCAAUGGCCAACACAUGGUUCAAACUUCCUCCAAAUUUCUGCGACCGGCAAUUGAAUCUUGUACUUGAAAUCCCAAACCUCGCUUUCAUAGUUCUGCAACACCCAUACAUUAAUAGUCGCUCUGUCCCUGUCACGGCUAUGGAUGCCGAGCGUGCCAUCCAUCUCAAAUAUAUAUGAAUAGGUGGGAACAGUUGGUGCGCGCAUAUGGCGAAAGGACUCAGCUAUGGUGUCAAAUACAAUUAUCAGUUCGCUUUCAGUCUUGUCGAAAUCUAGGAGUGGGCUGCUUUCACUCACAUAAUACAUUGGGUACCAGUGCAGGCUAUCGCGUACCUGGACGGGGUUCUUGAAGCACAACAAUGCUGUGUCCGGAAACCCGAUGUACCUCGGUGGCUGGUCAGAGCCCAACGCAAGCACAUAGCAGCCAAUUUGGUCUUUAGGCGAGUCCUUGCAGCCCCUCCGUUGCAGCAGCAGACGGUACUCGCCGGUAGGGCGGUGCCGGUACAUCCCCAAUGUCUUGAAGUCCCACGGUUGCCCAAGAGAAGCAUGCUCACGCGUGGCCGGAUUGUAGAUAAGGUGGCAGGUGCCGGUCUUUUCAAGCCUGGAGAGGAGGAGGAGCCCGUCGCAGGAGGCCUCCGGAGAGAAUGACCGGCCAAGCCGAGCCACGGUAUGGAGCUGGGCGUCAGCGGCGUCCUGGUGGUCGAAGACGAUGAUGUUAUAGCGGUGGAGACCGGGGAUGCGUUGGACGCUGUGGAGGAGGGGGUGGGCGGGCUGGCGGGCGUGGUGGGCGAGGAGGAAGCCACGGGCGGAGGUGGCGCAGCGCCAGGCGCGGCAGACGGCGCGGCAGCGGAGGAGGGAUUUGGGGUCGAGGCGAACGAUGAUCUCCCAGAUCACGAUCUCAUCUGGCAGGCUGCUGAGGAGAGGCGUCGCUCGUUCUGCUGCCAUGGUCGCCGGCUGGGAACGACCGAGAAGAAUUGUGGAGUCGUGCGCUUGUGCUGGUGAUCGUUUAGGUUGAAACAGAAUUGGGCUUAGCCCAUGAACUCUCGGAAUUAGUAGCUCUCGACGGGCUGGGCUUAGGUCAAGAAGAAGGCACUACUGGAAUUUUCAUGUACGCCGGGUGUAAUGCUCUUCGCCGAGUGCUAAAACACGGACACUCGGCAAAGCAAGCUUUGCCGAGUGUCACUCUCGGCAAACCCACCUUCACGGCAAACUACACUCUUUGCCGUCACUACCUCACGGCAAGGAGGCACCGCACGGCAAACCUUGCAAACGCCGAGAGCUGCUCACGGCAAAGAGUAGCCACGUGGCAUGUCCGUCCGCAGCAGACGGCUCCGUUAGUUACUGUCUACUUUCCCGAGUGUGGCUCUCGCCAAAGCACAUGCAACAUCCUUUUUUUGUGUGUGUGUUCUUUCUAACUGACAUGUGGUCUCACUGGUCACAUUUAUCAGUAAAAAAAUGACGAUAUGCUUGCCGAGAGUGGCUCUCGGCAAUCCUUCAUGGGAGCUGACAGUUUACAUAGCUUUGCCGAGAGCUAGGCUCGGCAAUGCUCUCCUUCUUUUCCGAGAGCUUCUCUCGGAAAAGUUGUGGCACAACAGUAGUGUCCCAGACGACCAUAUUCCCGAGAGUUGCUCUCGGUAGUCUGCCUUUUUCUGAGUGUAGCUCUCGGAAAUCUUUCCCAUCCAUUCUGCUGUCAAUCUAUUUCUUUUCUGAUCCCUGCAGAUAAAAACCACUACAGUGCAUUUUGAGCUAGUCCACACAUAUAUAUGCAUAAUUAGGGAUAGUCCACAUAUUGUCACACACAAGUCGAAUGUAUUAUCCUAGUAGACAUCACACACAAGUCGCAAAUUCAUACAUAUUGUCUCUAUUUGCAAAACACGUGCACGUCACAAUAGAAGUACACUUGUUCAUAUAUAGAUCAUCUUGAGGAGGAGAGGCCAUCGGGUUAACAUUCCGGAGGAGGAGGAGGGGCAUCACUUGCACUGCUUCGAGAUUGCAUAAGAACCUAUAAGAGUAGAGUCGUGUGAGGGUGGUUCGUCCCUAUAUAAUGAAUCUUCUACUAUAGUUUAGAUAAUGUUCUACCUGUUGUUGAUCCUCAAGCAUCUUCAACCUAUUGUUAGUGUCUGCCCGUUCCUUUUCUCUGGACUCCUCCUCAGCCUUCCGCCUUUGCUCCUCUUCAACAGCCCGCUGUGCCAUUAAAUCCUGUAACAUGGCAUUAGGAUCAUAUAGGUUGAAACGGUGCUAUUUCGAGGCAUGGACAUAAAUAAAAGGUUAGGAUGCUAACCUUGAGACACGCUAUCUCACGUGAUGCGGCUGUUGGGCGACUCCGUAUGGACGGAGUUGAGCUGGUGCUCGACGCGCGUAUCUCUUGCAGCUUGCGGUGCCCGGAGGUGGCGAUCGCCCCGUUGCAAAGGAGGUGGCGGCCAUGGCCCUUCCCCUCGCCAGCAAUGAUGAGAAGAUCAGGGUCAAGGGGCUUGGACGUAGGUUCGGUUCCUGCCCGUGCACCUCCUGGAAGACCUCUUUGAAGGUCCCCCACUUCUCCUCCGCCGACUCGCUGCAGAACUCGGCGCCAUCCUUCCCCUUGUGGCCUUCUUUCCAGGCUUCUAGGAUGUGGACCGGACGACAAACCUUCGCCUCCUGCAAAAUUAACCAUCAAGUUGAAUGAACCAAGAUGCACCGUGCAAAAAAGUUAACAUCUUAAUCCACAUACCAUGUGUUGCUUGAGAGCGGUUAGGUUCCGGCUCCCCUGGACAUGAGUUGGGCCUGGCAUUUUGGCUCGUUCGUUUCCCUUCUCCACAUGCUGCGCCUGCCAUGCUGGGUCACACCACAUGUCAACCAGGGCCUCCCAACAAUCGUCCUUCAUCCAGGGUUCCUUCACCUAGUCAGACAAAAUCGAAUAAUUGAGGAACAAGAGGGAUGAAUCAAAGUACUAGCAACCUAUGUAGUCACUUACCACUUACAGGUAUUCUUCUCGCGACAAGUUGGUCUGGCAAGCAGUCUUCCUUGUCAUCUUCUCUCCCUUCGAGUCCAGCGGCCGACACUGCAUCACGGCUUUGUACCGCAGUGUGUGCUUGGUGUCAGAGAGUAUCUUUCAGGCAGAUUUCACGAUGCCUUUGAUCGCCUUCUGCUUCUCACCAUCCACACAAGCAAAUGUUUGCUACAAGAAAGCAUAUGGCAUCUUCUCACCAUCCACGCAAGCAAGGAUUUGGAUAUGAAAAAAUACAGUGGUCGAAGCUAAGAUACUUACAAAAAAGCAUUGAUGACCCAAGUGGCCAUGGUGACAUCGUGUUCAUCCUUGUUGUGUACGUAAUGCUCCCAGGUUAAACCUGGCAACGGCAGAUCGUCAUCACCCGGCUUGGACAAUCCAGGGAAGUGCUUCCUCAAGAGGAAGCCGAUGACGUGGUUCGGCGGGCGUGCCCCCUUAGGUUGUGUCGGGAUAAAGUCCCACUGACUGCAUGAUAUAAAAGACAAGCAUAUGUGAGUGUCAAAGUUGUGGCAUCCAAAAUAUGAUGCAAAUGAAAUGCUUGCUUACCCCUCUCAUGUCGGGCAAAUGACAGGACGGUUGCUGGCAGCAGUUGGUUCCGGGACCUUCCCCGGACCACGCCCGGAUUUCUUCCUCUUGGAAAUGUUGCUCGAGGUAGACCCCGAGCCGUCCAAGGCCUCCAUGUCGCCCGACUCUGUGGCGAGCGGAUCUAGGUCCACUCCGACAUCGCCAUCCGAUGAUGACGAUGCCUCGGUUAUGGUCUAAUGGGAGGCGGACGACUCAGCCCUACCAAUCGGGACUCUCCGGUACUUAUUAUGAGUGCUCUCAUCAGAAUCUGAAAAAAAAAUAUAUAUGGUUAUUCUCAGUUCCAAAGCAAAAUCUUCCUAAUCUAAGUGUCAUAUCAUAUAUGGCAAAAAAUAACACAAAUAGCUCAAUCAAGUCUCAGAUAUAUAGUUCCAUUUACUAAUACCAUAGCACUGACAAGGACAAAAAAUUUGAAACGAAAGGGGUUGCCCCCCUGCCCCAACUUUUUAUUAAAAAAGCAAAGGCAACCAAAGAUCAGAGUUCACCACUGACAAGGAAAUAAGCACAAGUAUAUAGUUUCAUUGAUCUACUCUAGUAUUUAUCUAAAAAAAGCACUCCAAUCAGGCAUAUUCUACAUACCUGAGGGCAUUAAGCAUAUCUAAGGAACAGCAAUAUGCAUCAGGCAUAUUCUACAUAUCUAAAAAAAGCACUCCAAUCAAGCAAUAGGACAUGCAUCAAUUAUAGUCUAGACUACUCUAGGCAUUACUAAACAGGACCAUCUUCAUCUACUACUUUUAAUCACAUUUGUUCAUAUUUCAUACAUUUGUGCAAAAUAUUCUACAUACCUGAGGGCAUCUCCAACUGCCGCGCUACCGGAGAAGCUCUGCUGCGGCGGCCAUCCUUGGGUCGCAUCGAAGAAUCGCCGCGCUGGUUGCCGGCCAUGAAGCUUGGGGGAGGUGGCCGCUGUUGGGGACGAUGGAGGAGGGGGUGGCGGUGGCUGCAGUGGGGAGCGGUGGAGGAGGGGUGGCGGCCGCAGUUGGUGGCGGUGGAGGGCAGUGGAGGAGGGGANNNNNNNNNNNNNNNNNNNNNNNNNNNNNNNNNNNNNNNNNNNNNNNNNNNNNNNNNNNNNNNNNNNNNNNNNNNNNNNNNNNNNNNNNNNNNNNNNNNNNNNNNNNNNNNNNNNNNNNNNNNNNNNNNNNNNNNNNNNNNNNNNNNNNNNNNNNNNNNNNNNNNNNNNNNNNNNNNNNNNNNNNNNNNNNNNNNNNNNNNNNNNNNNNNNNNNNNNNNNNNNNNNNNNNNNNNNNNNNNNNNNNNNNNNNNNNNNNNNNNNNNNNNNNNNNNNNNNNNNNNNNNNNNNNNNNNNNNNNNNNNNNNNNNNNNNNNNNNNNNNNNNNNNNNNNNNNNNNNNNNNNNNNNNNNNNNNNNNNNNNNNNNNNNNNNNNNNNNNNNNNNNNNNNNNNNNNNNNNNNNNNNNNNNNNNNNNNNNNNNNNNNNNNNNNNNNNNNNNNNNNNNNNNNNNNNNNNNNNNNNNNNNNNNNNNNNNNNGGCCGUAGGGGGUGGCGGUGGAGGAGGGGGUGGCAGCGGCCGCAGAGGGUGGCGGCGGCCGCAGGGGGUGGCGGCGGCGGCGGUGGCGAUUUCACCGUCGGCGGCGGCGGUGGCGCAGGGAAGAGACGAGGUGAAUGAAGAUACAAACGAAAGGGGAAAGGUUAAGAUCUAGGUUAGAUGCUUUACCGAGAGCAGUGCUCGGAAAAGGUGUCCAUUACCGAGAGCCGAGAAUCGACCCUCGGUAACCACUGCUCUAAUUUUUUUCCUUCUCCUUUUGUUUUUGUUUUUGUUUUGCACUAUCUUUUUUUAUCUAACAUCCUAUAUACCUAAGAGAUUCAUCCCCACUAACCUAUUUAUCUAAACAUGCAACAUGUACACAUCAUCAGUCCUUCCACGUCAUCAAGUUUUGGUCCUCACAACCCCACUACUUUUACCACAAAAGAAAUUGUUUUUUAUUUUCCGAAUAAGACGAAGCCAAUCAUGUGACACCUCGCAUCCCGUUCUCACUUUUUCAUCUUCACACUCGGCUGCUCGUGUGCCCUGCCCACACUCAUCGCGUCCUCUGCACUUCUCCACACGCCUCUUCCUCCCCCUUCCUCUUAAAACACACAACAUUCACCCCUGAUUUCUUCCGUCCAUCUCCAUCACUCAUCCCUCCCCUCUAUCUCCAUCUCGCCGGCGGUUGUCCCCGUCGCCAAAUCCGAAGGUAGACUGCCAUUGUUGUGUCGGCGACAAGCCAUGAGGGGGGCACCCCUACAUGCGUGUGGCUAGUGUAUAUGCAUGCAGGGUAGUGUGCUAUAUGAAUAAGCAACGCAUGUCCUUGACGUAGCACGUGCCUCACAAACCACACACACGGGCGGGAACGUCAAGGACCGGCAGCGUCCGUUCCCGAGACAGAAUCUUCGGUGGGUGAUCCCGUGACAGAAUGAGCCUAGGCUUGGUCUUUCAUCUCACGAUGACAUGCACUAACAUGGAGUAGCAACUAUUCACCAUGGACUACACCCUCUNNNNNNNNNNNNNNNNNNNNNNNNNNNNNNNNNNNNNNNNNNNNNNNNNNNNNNNNNNNNNNNNNNNNNNNNNNNNNNNNNNNNNNNNNNNNNNNNNNNNNNNNNNNNNNNNNNNNNNNNNNNNNNNNNNNNNNNNNNNNNNNNNNNNNNNNNNNNNNNNNNNNNNNNNNNNNNNNNNNNNNNNNNNNNNNNNNNNNNNNNNNNNNNNNNNNNNNNNNNNNNNNNNNNNNNNNNNNNNNNNNNNNNNNNNNNNNNNNNNNNNNNNNNNNNNNNNNNNNNNNNNNNNNNNNNNNNNNNNNNNNNNNNNNNNNNNNNNNNNNNNNNNNNNNNNNNNNNNNNNNNNNNNNNNNNNNNNNNNNNNNNNNNNNNNNNNNNNNNCACCGUACAUGCGCGUGGCCCAUGCAUAUGCAUGCAGGGGUGGUAUGCUAUUUGAAUAAGCAACGCACGUCCUUGACAUGACACGUGCCUCACAAACCACACACACGGGCGGGAACGUCAACGACCGGCUGCGUCCAUUCCCGAGACAGAAUCUUCGGUGGGUGAUCCCGUGACAGAACGAGCCUAGACUUGGUCUGUCAUCUCGCGAUGACAUGCACUAACAUGAAGAAGCAGUUAUUCCUCGUGGCCUACCCCCUCUAGGUGCCGAACAACGCCCUAGACUGUCGGGGCCACCGGAGGGGUGCCGGUCUCUAGAACCGUACGAGGCUCAUCCGAAGAAGAAAACACAAGACGGUAAUUAUGAUGUGCUAAGGUUGUUUGCCAAGCAUGAAAGAAAACAACAAAAAAAAGUAUAAUACAUAUUAUCGAGAAAACACAAGAAGGAAAGAGAUCUAGGUGGAUGGUUUACGGAGAGCAGCUCUCGAAAAAGGUGGAAAUUACCGAGAUCCAAGAAUCGACUCUCGGUAAUGACUGCUCUAAUUUUUUUCCUCUCUUUUUGUCUUUUUUUGCACUAUUUUUUUUGUACCUCAUAUUUCAUAUGCUUUUACGACCAAAGUUUAUAAAUUCCAUGACUUUUGAUGAUUUUUUUCAAAACUCAACUUUAAAGAGUGUGUAAAGUAAAAAACAUGAGAAGAAGAAGUUGUUGACCGUUGCCUACCCCCUCUCUCGGUGUCGGUCAACUUUCUAGACCGGCACCGAGAGAGAACUUUAAAGAAGUAUCUGAACAGUUCCAUCUCCGCGGAUUGCUCUUCGCGUGUCCACGACUGUGGCCGGCGGCCUCCGGGGGCUAGCACACGCCGCCAAAUCUUGCGUAGGCAGCCUCUCACAAGUGUGGAAGCGUUGUGGCGGUUGCAAACGCCCGACCCGCGUUUCCGGGGUGUGCCCCCCCUCACGGACGGCGCCGCCGCCGGCACCUGAAGGGGGGAAACGAACGCGUCGGUUCUACACGGAUGGGGUCUUGCUGUGCCUUAGGCCCGGAUGUUCCUCCAAAGUGUUCCUAUGGGCUGACCUAACACAACCGGUUGGAGAGUUCCACUGGUCAAAGCCCGUCCGUGCAAACUCAAAGGGCUAGAUCCCGUGGUCAAACGCUAUAGGGUUAGGCGGGACGGGGGCCCUUGGGGGUAGCAAUGCUACCGAAGCAUCGCACUGGGCCCUCAUACAUGUCGUACGGUGUGGUGGAAUGUCCGAAGAGGCGGCACACCUCUUCGAGGUGUGGCCCCCCCUCACAGCCGGCACCUGGAAGGGGGAAACGGACGCGUCGAGUCUACACGGAUGGGAUCUUGUUGUGGCUUUCGCCUAGACUUGGUCUGUCAUAUCGCGAUGACAUGCACUAACACGGCAAAGCAGUUAUUCACCAUGGACUACACACUCUCAGUGCCGAAUAACACACUAGACCGCCGGGGCCACCGGAUGGGUGCUCGAGAUGGAGACCGCCCGAGGGGGGGGAGGGCACCCCUACAUGCGCGUGGCCCAUGUAUAUGCAUGCAGGGGUGGUGUGCUAUUUUAAUAAGCAACGCACGUCCUUGACGUAGCACGUGCCUCACAAACCACACACACGGGCAGGAACGUCAAGGACCAGUUGCGUCCUUUCCCGAGACAGAAUCUUCAGUGGGUGAUCCCGUGACAGAACGAGCCUAGACUUGGUCUGUCAUCUCGUGAUGACAUGCACUAACACGGAGUAGCAGUUAUUCACCGUGNNNNNNNNNNNNNNNNNNNNNNNNNNNNNNNNNNNNNNNNNNNNNNNNNNNNNNNNNNNNNNNNNNNNNNNNNNNNNNNNNNNNNNNNNNNNNNNNNNNNNNNNNNNNNNNNNNNNNNNNNNNNNNNNNNNNNNNNNNNNNNNNNNNNNNNNNNNNNNNNNNNNNNNNNNNNNNNNNNNNNNNNNNNNNNNNNNNNNNNNNNNNNNNNNNNNNNNNNNNNNNNNNNNNNNNNNNNNNNNNNNNNNNNNNNNNNNNNNNNNNNNNNNNNNNNNNNNNNNNNNNNNNNNNNCACCCUCUUGGUACCGAAUAAUGCCCUAGACCACCGGGGCCACCGGAUGGGUGCUUGAUAUGGAGACCGGCCGAGGGGGGGGCACCCGUACAUGCGCGUGGCCCAUGCAUAUGCAUGCAGGGGUGGUGUGUUAUUUGAAUAAGCAACGCACAUCCUUGACAUGACACGUGCCUCACAAACCACACACACGGGCGGGAACAUUGAGGACCCGUUGCGUCCGUUCCCGAGACAGAAUCUUCGGUGGGUGAUCCCGUGACAGAACAAGCCUAGAUUUGGUCUGUCAUCUCGCAAUGACAUGCACUAACACGAAUAAGCAGUUAUUCCUCGUGGCCUACCCCCUCUAGGUAUCGAACAACGGCCUAGACCGCCGGGGCCACCGGAGGGGUGCCGGUCUCUAGAACCGGACAAGGCUCAUCCGAAGAAAAAAACAGAAGACGGUAAUUAUGAUGUGCUAAGGUUGUUUGCCAAGCAUGAAAGAGAACAACAAAAAAAGUAUAAUCCAUAUUAUCAAGAAUGCACAAGAAGGAAAGAGAUCUAGGUGGAUGGUUUACUGAGAGCAGCUCUCGGAAAAGGUGGAAAUUACCGAGAGCCAGGGAUGGACUCUCGGUAAUGACUGCUCUAACUUUUUCCCACUCUCUUUUUGUAUUUUUUUUGCACUAUUUUUUUGUAUCUCAUAUUUCAUAUGCUUUUACGACCAAAGUUUAUAAAUUCCUUGACUUUUAAUGAUUUUUUUCAAAACUCAUCUUUAAGGAGUGUGUAAAGUAAAAAACAUGAGAAGAAGAAGUUCUUGACCGCGGCCUACCCCCUCUCUCGGUGCCGGUCAACUUUCUAGACCGGCACCGAGAGAGAACUUUAAAUAAGUAUCUGAACAGUUCCCUCUCCGCGGAUUGCUCUUCGCGUGUCCAGGACUGUGGCCGGCGGCCUCCGGGGGCUAGCACAUGCCGCCAAAUCUUGCGUAGGCAGCCUCUCACAAGUGUGGAAGCGUUGUGGCGGUUGCAAACGCCCGGCCCGUGUCUCCGGGGUGUGCCCCCCUCACGGACGGCGCCGCCGCCGGCACCUGAAGGGGGGAAAUGAAUGCGUCGGGUCUACACGGAUGGGGUCUUGUUGUGGCUUAGGCCCGGAUGUUCCUCCAAAGUGUUCCUAUGGGCUGACCUAACACAAUCGGUUGGAGAGUUCCACUGGUCAAAGCCCGUCCGUGCAAAGUCAAAGGGCUAGAUCUCGUGGUCAAACGCUACAGGGUUAGGCGGGACGGUCGCCCUGGGGGGUAGCAAUGCUACCGAAGCAUCGCACUGGGCCCUCAUACAUGCCGUAUGGUGUGGUGGCAUGUCCGAAGAGGCGGCGCGCCUCUCCGGGGUGUGGCCCCCUCACGGCCGGCACCUGGAGGGGGGAAACGGACGCAUCGGGUCUACACGGAUAGGAUCUUGUUGUGGCUUUGGCCUAGACUUGGUCUGUCAUCUCGAGAUGACAUGCACUAACACGGAGAAGCUGUUAUUCACCAUGGACUAGACCCUCUCAGUGCCGAAUAACGCCCUAGACCGCCAGGGCCACCGGAUGGGUGCUCGAUAUGGAGAACGCCUGAGGGGGGAGGGCACCCCUACAUGCGCGUGCCCCAUGUAUAUGCAUGCAGGGGUGGUGUGCUAUUUGAAUAAGCAACGCACGUCCUUGACGUAGCACGUGCCUCACAAACCACACACACGGGCGGGAACGUCAAGGACCAGCUCCGUCCGUUCCCGAGAUAGAAUCUUCGUUGGGUGAUCCCGUGACAGAACGAGCCUAGACUUGGUCUAUCAUCUCGCGAUGACAUGCACUAACACGGAGUGGCAGAUAUUCACCAUGGACUACACCCUCUUGGUAAUGAAUAACGCCCUAGACCGCCGGGGCCACCGGAUGGGUGCUCGAUAUGGAGACCGCUCGAGGGGAGGGAGGGCACCCGUACAUGCGUGUGGCCCAUGCAUAUGCAUGCAGGGGUGGUGUGUUAUUUGAAUAAGCAACGCACGUCCUUGACAUGACACGUGCCUCACAAACCACACACACGAGCGGGAACGUCGAGGACCGGCUGCAUCCGUUCCUGAGACAGAAUCUUCGAUGGGUGAUCCCGUGAGAGAACGAGCCUAGACUUGGUCUGUCAUCUCGUGAUGACAUGCACUAACACGAAGAAGCAGUUAUUCCUCGUGGCCUACCCCCUCUAGGUGCCGAACAACGCCCUAGACCGCCGGGGCCACCAGAGGGGUGCCGGUCUCUAGAACUGGACGAGGCUCAUCCGAAGAAGAAAACACAAGACGGUAAUUAUGAUGUGCUAAGGUUGUUUGCCAAGCAUGAAAGAAAACAACAAAAAAAGUAUAAUACAUAUUAUCGAGAAUGCACAUGAAGGGAAGAGAUCAAGGUGGAUGGUUUACCGAGAACAACUCUCGAAAAAAGUGGAAAUUACCGAGAGCCAAGAAUAGACUCUCGGUAAUGACUGCUCUAAUUCCCCUGCCCCCACCCCCUCUUUUCUGUCUUCUUUUGCACUAUCUUGUUUGUAUCUCAUAUUUCAUAUGCUUUUACGACCAAAGUUUAUAAAUUCCUUGACUUUUGAUGAUUUUUUUUCAAAACUCAACUUUAAAGAGUGUGUAAAGUAAAAACAUGAGAAGAAGAAGUUGUUUACCGUGCCCUACCCCCUCUCUCGGUUCUGGUCAACUUUCUAUACCACCACCGAGAGAGAACUUUAAAGAAGUAUCUAAACACUUUCCUCUCCGCGGAUUGCUCUUAGCGUGUCUACGACUGUGGCCGACGGCCUCUAGGGGCUAGCACAUGCCGCCAAAUCUUGCAUAGGCGGCCUCUCACAAGUCUGGAAGUGUUGUGGCGGUUGCAAACGCCCGGCCCGUGGCUCCGCGGUGUGCCCCCCUCACGGACGGCGCCGCCUCCGGCACCUGGAGGGGGGAAACCGACGCGUCGGGUCUACACGGAUGGGGUCUUGCUGUGGCUUAGGCCCGGAUUUUCCUCCAAAGUGUUCCUAUGGGCUGACCUAACACAACCGGUUGGAGAGUUCCACUCGUCAAAGCCCGUCCGUGCAAAGUCAAAGAGCUAGAUCCCGUGGUCAAACGCUACAGGGUUAGGCGGGACGGUCGCCCUGGGGGGUAGCAAUGCUACCGAAGCAUCACACCGGGCCCUCAUACAUGCCAUACGGUGUGGUGGCAUGUCCGAAGAGGCGGCGCGCCUCUCCGGGGUGUGGCCCCCUCACGGCCGGCACCUGGAGGGGGGAAACGGACGCAUCGGGUCUACACGGAUAGGAUCUUGCUGUGGCUUUGGCCUAGACUUGGUCUGUCAUCUCGAGAUGACAUGCACUAACACGGAGAAGCAUUUAUUCACCAUGGACUAGACCCUCUCAGUGCCGAAUAACGCCCUAGACCGCCAGGGCCACCGGAUGGGUGCUCGAUAUGGAGACCGCCCGAGGGGGGAGGGCACCCCUACAUGCGCGUGGCCCAUGUAUAUGCAUGUAGGGGUGGUGAGCUAUUUGAAUAAGCAACGCACGUCCUUGACGUAGCACGUGCCUCACAAACCACACACACGGGCGGGAACGUCAAGGACCAGCUCCGUCCGUUCCCGAGAUAGAAUCUUCGGUGGGUGAUCCCGUGACAGAACGAGCCUAGACUUGGUGUGUCAUCUCGCGAUGACAUGCACUAGCACGGAGUAGCAGUUAUUCACCAUGGACUACACCCUCUUGGUAAUGAAUAACGCCCUAGACCGCCGGGGCCACCGGAUGGGUGCUCGAUAUGGAGACCGCUCGAGGGGAGGGAGGGCACCCAUACAUGCGCGUGGCCCAUGCAUAUGCAUGCAGGGGUGGUGUGUUAUUUGAAUAAGAAACGCACGUCCUUGACAUGACACGUGCCUCACAAACCACACACACGAGCGGGAACGUCGAGGACCGGCUGCAUCCGUUCUUGAGACAGAAUCUUCGGUGGGUGAUCCCGUGACAGAACGAGCCUAGACUUGGUCUGUCAUCUCGUGAUGACAUGCACUAACACGAAGAAGCAGUUAUUCCUUGUGGCCUACCCCCUGUAGGUGCCGAACGACGCCCUAGACCGCCGGGGCCACCGGAGGGGUGCCGGUCUCUAGAACCGGACGAGGCUCAUCCGAAGAAGAAAACACAAGACGGUAAUUAUGAUGUGUUAAGGUUGUUUGCCAAGCAUGAAAGAAAACAACAAAAAAAGUAUAAUACAUAUUAUCGAGAAUGCACAUGAAGGGAAGAGAUCAAGGUGGAUGGUUUACCGAGAACAGCUCUCGGAAAAAGUGGAAAUUACCGAGAGCCAAGAAUAGACUCUCGGUAAUGACUGCUCUAAUUCCCCUGCCCCCACCCCCUCUUUUCUGUCUUUUUUUGCACUAUCUUUUUUGUAUCUCAUAUUUCAUAUGCUUUUACGACCAAAGUUUAUAAAUUCCUUGACUUUUGAUGAUUGUUUUCAAAUCUCAAGUUUAAAGAGUGUGUAAAGUAAAAAACAUGAGAAGAAGAAGUUGUUGACCAUGCCCUACCCCCUCUCUUGGUGCCGAUCAACUUUCUAUACCGGCACCGAGAGAGAACUUUAAAGAAGUAUCAGAACACUUCCCUCUCCGCGGAUUGCUCUUCGCGUGUCUACGACUGUGGCCGGCGGCCUCCGGGGGCUAGCACAUGCCGCCAAAUCUUGCGUAGGCGGCCUCUCACAAGUCUGGAAGUGUAGUGGCGGUUGCAAACGCCCGGCCCGCGGCUCCGGGGUGUGCCCCCCCUCACGGACAGCGCCGCCGCCGGCACCUGGAGGGGGGAAACCGACGCGUCGGGUCUACACGGAUGGGGUCUUGCUGUGUCUUAGGCCCGGAUGUUGCAACAAAGUGUUCCUAUGGGCUGACCUAACAAAACCGGGUGUAGAGUUCCACUGGUCAAAGCCCGUCCGUGCAAAGUCAAAGGGCUAGAUCCUGUGGUCAAAUGCUACAGGGUUAGGCGGGACGGGGGCCCUGGGAGGGUAGCAAUGCCACCGAAGCAUCGCACCGGGCCCUCAUACAUGUCGUACGGUGUGGUGGCAUGUUCGAAGAGGCGGCAUGCCUCUCCGUGGUGUGGCCCCCCUCAUGGCCGGCACCUGGAGGAGGGAAACGGACGCGUCGGGUCUACAUGGAUGGGAUCUUGCUGUGGCUUUGGCCUAGACUUGGUCUGUCAUCUCGCGAUGACAUGCACUAACACGGAGAAGCAGUUAUUCACCAUGGACUACACCCUCUCGGUGCCGAAUAACGCCCUAGACCGCCGGGGCCACCGAAUGGGUGCUCGAUAUGGAGACCGCCCGAGGGGGGAGGGAACCCCUACAUGCGCGUGGCCCAUAUAUAUGCAUGCAGGGGUGGUGUGCUAUUUGAAUAAGCAACGCACGACCUUGACGUAGCACGUGCCUCACAAACCACACACGCGGGCGGGAUCGUCAAGGACCGGCUGCGUCCGUUCCCGAGACAGAAUCUUCGGUGGGUGAUCCCGUGACAGAACGAGCCUAGACUUGGUGUGUCAUCUCGCGAUGACAUGCACUAACACGGAGNNNNNNNNNNNNNNNNNNNNNNNNNNNNNNNNNNNNNNNNNNNNNNNNNNNNNNNNNNNNNNNNNNNNNNNNNNNNNNNNNNNNNNNNNNNNNNNNNNNNNNNNNNNNNNNNNNNNNNNNNNNNNNNNNNNNNNNNNNNNNNNNNNNNNNNNNNNNNNNNNNNNNNNNNNNNNNNNNNNNNNNNNNNNNNNNNNNNNNNNNNNNNNNNNNNNNNNNNNNNNNNNNNNNNNNNNNNNNNAGUUAUUCACCAUGGACUACACCCUCUUGGUACCGAAUAAUGCCCUAGACCGCCGGGGCCACCGGAUGGGUGCUCGAUAUGGAGACCACCCGAGGGGGGGGGAGGGCACCCGUACAUGCGCGUGGCCCAUGCAUAUGCAUGGAGGGGUGGUGUGUUAUUUGAAUAAGAAACGCACGUCCUUGACGUGACACAUGCCUCACAAACCACACACAUGGGCGGGAACGUCGAGGACCGGCUGCGUCCGUUCCCGAGACAGAAUCUUCGCUGGGUGAUCCCAUGAGAGAACGAGCCUAGAUUUGGUCUGUCAUCUCGCGAUGACAUGCACUAACACGAAGAAGCAGUUAUUCCUCGUGGCCUACCCCCUCUAGGUGCCAGACAACGCCCUAGACCGCCGGGGCCACCGGAGGGGUGCCGGUCUCUAGAACUGGAUGAGGCUCAUUCGAAGAAGAAAACACAAGACGAUAAUUAUGAUGUGCUAAGGUUGUUAGCCAAGCAUGAAAGAAAACAACAAAAAAAUUAUAAUACAUAUUAUCGAGAAUGCACAAGAAGGAAAGAGAUCUAGGUGGAUGGUUUAUCGAGAGCAGCUCUCGAAAAAGGUGGAAAUUACCAAGAACCAGAAUCGACUCUCGGUAAUGACUGCUCUAAUUUUUUCCCCUCUCUUUUUGUCUUUUUUUGCACUACUUUUUUGUAUCUCAUAUUUCAUAUGCUUUUACGACCAAUGUUUAUAAAUUCCAUGACUUUUGAUGAUUUUUUUCAAAACUCAACUUUAAAGAGUGUGUAAAGUGAAAAACAUGAGAAGAAGAAGUUGUUGACCGUGGCCUACCCCCUCUCUCGGUGCUGGUCAACAUUCUAGACUGGCACCGAGAGAGAACUUUAAAGAAGUAUCUGAACACUUCCCUCUCCGCGGAUUGCUCUUUGCCUGUUUACGACUGUGGUCAGCGGCCUCCGGGGGCUAGCACAUGCCACCAAAUCUUGCGUAGGCGGCCUCUCACAAGUCUGGAAGUGUUGUGGCGGUUGCAAACGCCCGGCCCGCGUCUCCAAGGUGUGCCCUCCCCUCACAGACGGUGCUGCCGCCAGCACCUGGAGGGGGGAAACGGACGCGUCGGGUCUACACGUAUGGGAUCUUGCUGUGGAUUAGUCCCGGAUGUUGCUCCAAAGUGUUCCUAUGGGCUGACCUAACACAACCGGGUGGAGAGUUCCACUGGUCAAAGCCCAUCCGUGCAAAGUCAAAGGGCUAGAUCCCGUGGUCAAAUGCUACAGGGUUAGGCGGGACGGGGGCCCUGGGGGGUAGCAAUGCCACCGGAGCAUCGCACCGGGCCCUCAUACAUGCCGUACGGUGUGGUGGCAUGUCCGAAGAGGUGGCACGCCUCUCCGAGGUGUGGCCCCCCUCACGGCCGGCACCUGGAGGGGGGAAAUGGAUGCGUUGGGUCUACACGGAAGGGAUCUUGCUGUGGCUUUGGCCUAGACUUGGUAUGUCAUCUCGCGAUGACAUGCACUAACACGGAGAAGCAGUUAUUCACCGUGGACUACACCCUUUCGGUGCCGAAUAACGCCCUAGACCGUCGGGGCCACCGGAUGGGUGCUCGAUAUGGAGACCGCCCGAGGGGGGGGGGGAGGGCACCCCUACAUGCAUGUGGCCCAUGUAUAUGCAUGUAGGUGUGGUGUGCUAUUUGAAUAAGCAACGCACGUCCUUGACGUAGCACGUGCCUCACAAACCACACACACGGGCGGGAACGUCAAGGACGGGCUGCGUCCGUUCCCAAGACAGAAUCUUCGGUGGGUGAUCCCGUGACAGAACGAGCCUAGACUUGGUCUGUCAUCUCGCGAUGACAUGCACUAACACGGAGUAGUAGUUAUUCACCGUGGACUACACCCUCUUGGUACCGAAUAACGGCCUAGACCGUCGGGGCCACCAGAUGGGUGCUCGAUAUGGAGACCGCCCGAGGGGGGAGGGCACCCGUACAUGCGCGUGGCCCAUGCAUAUGCAUGCAGGUGUGGUGUGUUGGGGAACGUUGCAGAAAAUUAAAAUUUUUCCUACGGUUUCACCAAGAUCCAUCUAUGAGUUCAUCUAAGCAACGAGUCUAGGGAGAGAGUUUGCAUCUACAUACCACUUGUAGAUCGCGUGCGGAAGCUUGCAAGGUGGUGAUGUAGUCGUACUCGACGUGAUCCAAAUCACCGAUGACCAGCGCCGAACGGACGGCACCUCCGCGUUCAACACACGUACGGGACGGGAGACGUCUCCUCCUUCUUGAUCCAGCAAGGGGGAAGGAGAGGUUGAUGAAGAUCCAGCAGCACGACGGCGUGGUGGUGGAUGCAGGGCGUCACAGCAGCAGGGCUUCGCCGAGACUACGAGGGAGAGACGUAACGGGGGGAGGUGGAGGCGCCAGGGGCUGUUGUGUGAAGUCCCUCCUCUCCCCCACUAUAUAUAGGGGUGCCAGGGGGGGCGCCGGCCCUAGUUGAUGAGAUCUACUAGGGGGGCGGCGGCCUAGGGGAGGUUUCCCUCCCCCCCAAGGCACCUAGGGGUGCCUUCCACCACUAGGACUCCUCCUAGGGGGAAACCCUAGGCGCAUGGGCCUAUAGGGGCUGGUGCCCUUGGCCCAUGAUGGCCAAGGCGCACCCCCUACAGCCCAUGUGGCCCCCCGGGACAGGUGGCCCCACCCGGUGGACCCCCGGGACCCUUCCGGUGGUCCCGGUACAAUACCGAUAACCCCGAAACUUGUCCCGAUGCCCGAAACAGCACUUCCUAUAUAUAAUUCUUUACCUCCGGACCAUUCCGGAACUCCUCGUGACGUCCGGGAUCUCAUCCGGGACUCCGAACAACAUUCGGGUUUCUGCAUAUACAUAUCUUCAUAACCCUAGCGUCACCGAACCUUAAGUGUGUAGACCCUACGGGUUCGGGAGACAUGCAGACAUGACCGAGACGCUCUCAGUCAAUAACCAUCAGCGGGAUCUGGAUACCCAUGAUGGCUCCCACAUGCUCCUCGAUGUUGUCAUCGGAUGAACCACUAUGUCGAGGAUUCGAUCAAACCCUGUAUGCAAUUCCCUUUGUCAAUCGGUACGUUACUUGCCCGAGACUCGAUCGUCGGUAUCCCAAUACCUUGUUCAGUCUCGUUACCGGCAAGUCACUUUACUCGUACCGUAAUGCAUGAUCCCGUGUCCAACACCUUGGUCACAUUGAGAUCAUUAUGAUGAUGCAUUACCGAGUGGGCCCAGAGAUACCUCUCCGUCAUACGGAGUGACAAAUCCCAGUCUCGAUCCGUGUCAACCCAACAGCUACUUUCGGAGAUACCUGUAAUGCACCUUUAUAGUCACCCAGUUACGUUGUGACGUUUGAUACACCCAAAGCACUCUUACAGUAUCCGGGAGUUACACGAUCUCAUGGUCGAAGGAAGAGAUACUUGACACUUGCAAAGCUCUAGCAAAACGAACUACACGAUCUUUUAUGCUAUGCUUAGGAUUGGGUCUUGUCCAUCACAUCAUUCUCCUAAUGAUGUUAUCCCGUUAUCAAUGACAUCCAAUGUCCAUAGUCAGGAAACCAUGACUAUCUGUUGAUCACAACGAGCUGGUCAACUAGAGGCUUACCAGGGACAUAGUGUGGUCUAAGUAUUCACACGUGUAUUACGAUUUCCGGAUAAUACAGUUAUAGCAUGAAUAAAAGACAAUUAUCAUGAACAAUGAAAUAUAAUAAUACUUUAUUAUUGCCUCUAGGGCAUAUUUCCAACAGUCUCCCACUUGCACUAGAGUCACCAAUCUAGUUACAUUGUGAUGAAUUGAACACCCAUAGAGUUCUGGUGUUGAUCAUGUUUUGCACGCGAGAGAGGUUUAGUCAGCGGAUCUGCGACAUUCAGAUCCGUGUGCACUUUGCAAAUCUCUAUGUCUCCAUCUUGAACAUUUUCACGGAUGGAGUUGAAACGACGCUUGAUGUGCCUGGUCUUCUUGUGAAACCUGGGCUCCUUUGCGAGGGCAAUAGCUCCAGUGUUGUCACAGAAGAGUUUGAUCGGCCCCGACGCAUUGGGUAUGACUCCUAGGUCGGUGAUGAACUCCUUCACCCAAAUCGCUUCAUGUGCUGCCUCCGAGGCUGCCAUGUACUCCGCUUCACACGUAGAUCCCGCCACGACGCUCUGCUUGCAGCUGCACCAGCUUACUGCUCCACCAUUCAACAUAUACACGUAUCCGGUUUGUGACUUAGAGUCAUCCAGAUCUGAGUCGAAGCUAGCGUCGACGUAACCUUUUACGACGAGCUCUUCGUCUCCUCCAUAAACGAGAAACAUGUCCUUUGUCCUUUUCAGGUACUUCAGGAUAUUCUUGACCGCUGUCCAGUGUUCCUUGCUGGGAUUACUUUGGUAUCUUGCUACCAAACUUACGGCAAGGUUUACAUCGGCUCUGGUACACAGCAUGGCAUACAUAAUAGAUCCUAUGGCUGAAGCAUAGGGGAUGACACUCAUCUCUUCUUUAUCUUUUGUCGUGGUCGGUGACUGAGCUGAGCUCAGUCUCAUACCUUGUAACAUAGGCAAGAACCCCUUCUUGGACUGAUCCAUUCUGAAUCUCUUCAAAAUCUUAUCAAGGUAUGUGCUUUGUGAAAGACCUAUGAGGCAUCUCGAUCUAUCUCUAUAGAUCUUGAUGCCUAAUAUAUAAGCAGCUUCUCCAAGGUCCUUCAUUGAAAAACACUUAAUCAAGUAGGCCUUAAUGUUGUCCAGAAAUUCUAUAUUAUUUCCCAUCAGGAGUAUGUCAUCUACAUAUAAUAUGAGAAAUGCUACAGAGCUCCCACUCACUUUCUUGUAAACGCAGGCUUCUCCAUAAGUCUGCAUAAACCCAAACGCUUUGAUCAUCUCAUCAAAGCGAAUGUUCCAACUCCGAGAUGCUUGCACCAGUCCAUAAAUGGAUCGCUGGAGCUUGCAUACUUUGUUAGCGUUCAGAGGAUCGACAAAACCUUCCGGCUGCAUCAUAUACAGUUCUUCCUUAAGAUGCCCGUUAAGGAAUGCUGUUUUGACGUCCAUCUGCCAUAUCUCAUAAUCAUAGUAUGCGGCAAUUGCUAACAUGAUUCGGACGGACUUUAGCUUCGCUACGGGAGAGAAUGUCUCGUCGUAGUCAAUCCCUUGAACCUGUCGAUAACCCUUAGCGACAAGUCGAGCUUUAUAGAUGGUAACAUUACCAUCCGCGUCCGUCUUCUUCUUAAAGAUCCAUUUGUUUUCUAUCGCUCGCCGAUCAUCGGGCAAGUCUGUCAAAGUCCAUACUUUGUUUUCAUACAUGGAUUCUAUCUCGGAUUUCAUGGCUUCAAGCCAUUUGUUGGAAUUCGGGCCCGCCAUUGCUUCUUCAUAGUUCGAAGGUUCAUUGUUGUCUAACAACAUGAUUUCCAGGAUAGGGUUGCCGUACCACUCUGGUGCGGAACGUGUCCUUGUGGACCUACGAAGUUCAGCAGUAACUUGAUCCGAAGUACCUUGAUCAUUAUCAUGGUUUUCCUCUUCAGUUGGUGUGGGCAUCACAGGAACGGUUUCCUGUGCUGCAUCACUAUCCCGCUCAAGAGGUAGUACUUCAUCGAGUUCUACUUUCCUCCCACUUACUUCUUUCGAGAGAAACUCUUUUUCCAGAAAGCAUCCGUUCUUGGCAACAAAGACCUUGCCUUCGGAUCUUAAGUAGAAGGUAUACCCUACAGUUUCCUUAGGGUAUCCUAUGAAUACGCAUUUUUCCGACUUGGGUUCGAGCUUUUCAGGUUGAAGUUUCUUGACAUAAGCUUCGCAUCCCCAAACUUUUAGAAACGACAGCUUAGGUUUCUUUCCAAACCAUAAUUCAUACGGUGUCGUCUCAACGGAUUUAGACGGUGCCCUAUUUAAAGUGAAUGUAGCUGUCUCUAGAGCGUAUCCCCAAAAUGAUAGCGGUAAAUCGGUAAGAGACAUCAUAGACCGCACCAUAUCCAAUAGAGUGCGAUUAUGACGUUCGGACACACCGUUUCGCUGAGGUGUUCCAGGCGGCGUGAGCUGUGAAACGAUUCCACAUUUCUUUAAGUGUGUACCAAAUUCGUGACUUAAGUAUUCUCCUCCACGAUCUGAUCGUAAGAAUUUUAUCUUUCGGUCACGUUGAUUCUCCACCUCAUUCUGAAAUUCCUUGAACUUUUCAAAGGUCUCAGACUUGUGUUUCAUUAAGUAGACAUACCCAUAUCUACUCAAGUCAUCUGUGAGAGUGAGAACAUAACGAUAUCCUCCGCGAGCCUCAACGCUCAUUGGACCGCACACAUUGGUAUGUAUGAUUUCCAACAAGUUGGUUGCUCGCUCCAUUGUUCCGGAGAACGGAGUCUUGGUCAUUUUGCCCAAGAGGCAUGGUUCGCACGUGUCAAACGAUUCAUAAUCAAGAGACUCUAAAAGUCCAUCGGCAUGGAGCUUCUUCAUGCGGUUGACACCAAUGUGACCAAGGCGGCAGUGCCACAAGUAUGUGGGACUAUCGUUAUCAACUUUAAAUCUUUUGGUAUCUACACUAUGAACAUGUGUAAUAUUACGCUCGAGAUUCAUUAAGAAUAAACCAUUGACCAUCGGAGCAUGACCAUAAAACAUAUCUCUCAUAUAAAUCAAACAACCAUUAUUCUCAGACUUAAAUGAGUAGCCAUCUCGUAUUAAACGAGAUCCAGAUACAAUGUUCAUGCUCAAACUUGGCACUAAAUAACAAUUAUUGAGGUUCAAAACUAAUCCCGUAGGAAAAUGUAGAGGCAGCGUGCCGACGGCGAUCACAUCGACUCUGGAACCAUUCCCGACGCGCAUCGUCACCUCGUCCUUUGCCAGUCUCCGUUUAUUCCGCAGCUCCUGCUGUGAGUUACAAAUAUGAGCAACGGCACCGGUAUCAAAUACCCAGGAGUUACUACGAUUACUGGUAAGGUACACAUCAAUCACAUGUAUAUCAAUUAUACCUUUGGUGUUGCCGGCCUUCUUCUCCGCUAAGUAUUUGGGGCAGUUCCGCUUCCAGUGACCCUUCCCCUUGCAAUAAAAGCACUCAGUCUCAGGCUUGGGUCCAUUCUUUGACUUCUUCCCGGUAACUGGCUUACCAGGCGCGGCAACAUCUUUGCCGUCCUUCUUGAAGUUCUUCUUACCCUUGCCCUUCUUGAACUUAGUGGUCUUAUUGACCAUCAACACUUGAUGUUCUUUCUUGAUUUCAGCCUCUGCUGACUUCAGCAUCGAGAACACUUCAGGAAUGGUCUUUUCCAUUCCCUGCAUGUUGUAGUUCAUCACAAAGCUCUUGUAGCUUGGUGGGAGCGACUAGAGGAUUCUGUCAAUGACCGCCUCAUCUGGGAGGUUAAUGUUCAGCUGGGUCAUACGGUUGUGCAACCCAGACAUCUUCAGGAUGUGCUCACUGACAGAACUAUUCUCCUCCAUCUUACAACUGUAGAACUUGUCGGAGACAUCAUAUCUCUCGACCCGGGCAUGAGCUUGGAAAACUAGUUUCAGCUCUUCAAACAUCUCAUAUGCUCCGUGAUGCUCAAAACGAUUUUGGAGCCCCGGUUCUAAGCUGUAAAGCAUGCCGCACUGAACGAGGGAGUAAUCAUCAGCGCGAGUUUGCCAAGCAUUCAUAAUGUCUUGGUUCUCUGGGACGGGAGCGUCACCUAGCGGUCCUUCUAGGACAUAUUGUUUCCUGGCAGCUAUGAGGAUGAUCCUCAGGUUCCGGACCCAGUCCGUAUUGUUGCUGCCAUCAUCUUUCAGCUUGGUUUUCUCUAGGAACGCGUUGAAGUUCAUGUUGACAUUAGCGUUGGCAUUGAUCUACAAGACAUAUUUGCAAAGGUUUUAGACUAAGUUCAUGAUAAUAAAGUUCUAAUCAAAUUAUGAACUCCCACUUAGAUUAGACAUCCCUUUAGUCAUCUAAGUGUUACACGAUCCGAGUCGACUAGCCCGUGUCCGAUCAUCACGUGAGACGGACUAGUCAUCGUCGGUGAACAUUUUCAUGUUGAUCGUAUCUUCUAUACGAUUCGUGUUCGACCUUUCGGUCUCCGUGUUCCGAGGCCAUGUCUGCACAUGCUAGGCUCGUCAAGUUAACCCUAAGUGUUUUCGCUGUGUAAAACUGUCUUACACCCGUUGUAUGUGAACGUAAGAAUCCAUCACACCCGAUCAUCACGUGGUGCUUAGAAACGACGAACUGUAGCAACGGUGCACAGUUAGGGGAGAACACUUCUUGAAAUUUUAUAAGGCAUCAUCUUAUUUACUACCGUCGUCCUAAGUAAACAAGAUGCAUAAUACAUAAUAAACAUCACAUGCAAUUAUAUAGUUGUGACAUGAUAUGGCCUAUAUCAUAUAGCUCCAUUGAUCUUCAUCUUCGGGGCUCCAUGAUCAUCUUGUCACCGGCUUGACACCAUGAUCUCCAUCAUCAUGAUCUCCAUCAUCGUGUCUUCAUGAAGUUGUCACGCCAACGACUACUUCUACUUCUAUGACUAACGUUUAGCAAUAAAGUAAAGUAGUUUACAUGGCGUUAUUCAAUGACACGCAGGUCAUACAAAAAAUAAUGACAACUCCUAUGGCUCCUGCCGGUUGUCAUACUCAUCGACAUGCAAGUCGUGAAUCCUAUUACAAAGAACAUGAUCUCAUACAUCACAAUUCAUCAUUCAUCACAACUUCUGGCCAUAUCACAUCACAUGAUCAAUCGCUGCAAAAACAAGUUAGACGUCCUCUAACUGUUGUUGCAUCUUUUACGUGGCUGCAAUUGGGUUCUAGCAAGAACGUUUUCUUACCUACGAAUCACCACAACGUGAUUUUUUCAACUUCUAUUUACCCUUCAUAAGGGCCCUGUUCAUCGAUUCCGCUCCAACUAAGGUGGGAGAGACAGACACCCGCCAGCCACCUUAUGCAACUUGUGCAUGUCAGUCGGUGGAACCGGUCUCACGUAAGUGUACGUGUAAGGUUGGUCCGGGCCGCUUCAUCCCACAAUACCGUUGAGCAAGAAAAGACUAGUAGAGGCAAGUAAGAUGACAAAAUCCACGCCCACAACAAAGUUGUGUUCUACUCGUGCAAAGAGAACUACGCAUAGACCUAGCUCUGAUACCACUGUUGGGGAACGUUGCAGAAAAUUAAAAAUUUUCCUAUGGUUUCACCAAGAUCCAUCUAUGAGUUCAUCUAAGCAACAAGUCUAGGGAGAGAGUUUGCAUCUACAUACCACUUGUAGAUCGCGUGCGGAAGCUUGCAAGGUGAUGAUGUAGUCGUACUCGACAUGAUCCAAAUCACCGAUGACCAGCGCCGAACGGACGGCACCUCCGCGUUCAACACACGUACGGGACGGGAGACGUCUCCUCCUUCUUGAUCCAGCAAGGGGGAAGGAGAGGUUGAUGAAGAUCCAGCAGCACGACGGCGUGGUGGUGGAUGCAGGGCGUCACAGCAGCAGGGCUUCGCCGAGACUACGAGGGAGAGACGUAACGGGGGGAGGUGGAGGCGCCAGGGGCUGGUGUGUGAAGUCCCUCCUCUCUCCCACUAUAUAUAGGGGUGCCAGGGGGGUGCCGGCCCUAGUAGAUGAGAUCUACUAGGGGGGGCGGCGGCCUAGGGGAGGUUUCCCUCCCCCCCAAGGCACCUAGGGGUGCCUUCCACCACUAGGACUCCUCCUAGGGGGAAACCCUAGGCGCAUGGGCCUAUAGGGGCUAGUGCCCUUGGCCCAUGAUGGCCAAGGCGCACCCCCUACAGCCCAUGUGGCCCCCCGGGACAGGUGGCCCCACCCGGUGGACCCCCGGGACCCUUCCGGUGGUCCCGGUACAAUACCGAUAACCCCGAAACUUGUCCCGAUGCCCGAAACAGCACUUCCUAUAUAUAAUUCUUUACCUCCGGACCAUUCCGGAACUCCUCGUGACGUCUGGGAUCUCAUCCGGGACUCCGAACAACAUUCUGGUUUCUGCAUAUACAUAUCUUCAUAACCCUAGCAUCACCGAACCUUAAGUGUGUAGACCCUACGGGUUCGAGAGACAUGCAGACAUGACCGAGACGCUCUCAGUCAAUAACCAUCAGCGGGAUCUGGAUACCCAUGAUGGCUCCCACAUGCUCCUCGAUGUUGUCAUCGGAUGAACCACUAUGUCGAGGAUUCGAUCAAACCCUGUAUGCAAUUCCCUUUGUCAAUCGGUACGUUACUUGCCCGAGACUCGAUCGUCGGUAUCCCAAUACCUUGUUCAGUCUCGUUACCGGCAAGUCACUUUACUCGUACCGUAAUGCAUGAUCCCGUGUCCAACACCUUGGUCACAUUGAGCUCAUUAUGAUGAUGCAUUACCGAGUAGGCCCAGAGAUACCUCUCCGUCAUACGGAGUGACAAAUCCCAGUCUCGAUCCGUGUCAACCCAACAGCUACUUUCGGAGAUACCUGUAAUGCACCUUUAUAGUCACCCAGUUACGUUGUGACGUUUGAUACACCCAAGGCACUCUUACGGUAUCCGGGAGUUACACGAUCUCAUGGUCGAAGGAAGAGAUACUUGACACUUGCAAAGCUCUAGCAAAACGAACUACACGAUCUUUUAUGCUAUGCUUAGGAUUGGGUCUUGUCCAUCACAUCAUUCUCCUAAUGAUGUGAUCCCGUUAUCAACGACAUCCAAUGUCCAUAGUCAGGAAACCAUGACUAUCUGUUGAUCACAAUGAGCUGGUCAACUAGAGGCUUACCAGGGACAUAGUGUGGUCUAAGUAUUCACACGUGUAUUACGAUUUCCGGAUAAUACAGUUAUAGCAUGAAUAAAAGACAAUUAUCAAGAACAAUGAAAUAUAAUAAUACUUUUAUUAUUGCCUCUAGGGCAUAUUUCCAACAUGGUGUGUUAUUUGAAUAAGCAACACACGUCCUUGACGUGACACGUGCCUCAGAAACAACACACACCGGCGGGAACGUCGAGGACCGGCUGCGUCCGUUCCCGAGACAGAAUCUUAAGUCGGUGAUCCCGUGACAUAACGAGCCUAGAUUUGGUCUGUCAUCUCGCGAUGAUAUGCACUAACACGAAGAAGUAGUUAUUCCUCGUGGCCUACCCCCUCUAUGUGCCGAACAACGCCCUAGACCGCCGGGGCCACCGGAGGGGUGCCGGUCUCUGGAACCGAACGAGGCUUAUCCGAAGAAGAAAACACAAGAUGGUAAUUAUGAUGUGCUAAGGUUGUUUGCCAAGCAUGAAAGAAAACAACAACAAAAAGCCCGACAUCCACCAUUAAGAAGAAGGCCUAUCACUUUGAAUGUUCUCUGCUCGAGACAGGUGAACAUUCAAAGUGAUAGUCCAUCUCCUUAACAAAAGUGUAAUGAAUACUGAAGCUUACUACAUCUGGACUAUCCCACUAUUUAAAUAGGUUUUGUUGCUUGUCUCUAGGCGAGGUGGGACUAAACUUUGAUGGUGCCCUAAUAAUUAUCGAGAGUGACACUCGGCACCUUCUCAUUUACCGAGAGCCAGGAGUCGACCCUCGGUUAAUUCUUCUUUACCGAGAGCCCUCUCGGCAUAACUGCAACAGCCAAGUGCCUCCACCUUCCAGCGCAUGCCUGUUUGCCGAGUGCGGCCCUCGGUAAACUUUUGUUCCCAGUUCUGUUCAUACUGUUUUUUGCUCGAGUUGGUGCAGCAAAAACAUUUAUACAUACUCAAACUUGCAUUUCAAGUCACACAGGUUCACAACAAACUCACAUAAGCAUUAAUCCAUAAAUAGUUCACACAAGCUUCAUUUCAAAUCACAAAGUAUCUCUUUAGUACAAGUGCCUACUUACUAAUUAAACAACAAAGUGGUCUGCAUGCAUGCACCAUAUGAUAAAAAGCAACGCCACAAUUAUUACAAACUGAAAGAGAAUUAUGAAGUUCUUUAACCCACUGAACCAGCUAAGCCGUGUCAGGCUUGCACCAUUGCGUAAUUCUAUUUUUCUCUUUUGCUUAAGCAAAUACUGAUUGUGAUGAUACUCUGCCGUCUCUCUGAUGUUAAAUGAGGCGAAGGAGUUGCCUUCAUAAUGAAGUAUUUGUUCAUUGCAUUCCGACCAUGAAUUGUAAACUCCUGGACACCGACCUCUGUACACCACAUACCACUUCAUCUACAAAAGAAGAGAAAUAAGGCACAUCAUACAUAAUCAACAUAAGAAUUCAUCACUCAUACAAUCAAAAGCAUCACAAGUGGCCAUCCAAGUCCAUAUCAGCAAGUACAUAACUAUACCACUAAAUCAACGUCAAACUAUCUAGGUGACUACUCCGAGGUGUAGUCGGUGAAACCAGUGAUCGUCGAGUCAGAGCACGUGGGGGCAUCCCCCACAGUGGAGGACCAAGCAUCGUCGGGAAUGAUGGUCAGUGGACUCAAUGGCUCCUUGCGUGGUGGAGCCUUGCCCUCCUUAGCUGGGGGGUUCUUCUUGGCCAGAUCCACAAAAAACUUCAUUAGGAUCAGCUGUGGGUUCUUCUCAAGGAGUUCCUCCAAGCGGUACUCGGAGCUCUUCUCCGUGCCCGUGGAGUCGACCCUAAUGGAAGCUUCGCCGUUGGAGGCCAUAGCCAAAAAAUCGAUCGAUGCUAACACCUUUCAUCACAAAAUAGAAAAUAACAUAAGAAUCAAACAUGAAAGAUAUAACAUGUAGAGCUCACGUAGAUCGACCACCAUCAUCAAAAGUCGAUUUUCUUCCUCCAAGAACAACUCUCGCUGGUGGUGGUAUAUAUGGUGGAUACUCUCUCACGGUUAUUUCAACUUUCUAUGAUGGUUGAGCUGGGUGAGCCCCUCGCGCGUUAUCAAGAUAUAACAUGAGGAGCUCACCCAAAUCAACCGUCAUCGCUCAAAAGUUGAUUUUUCUUCCUCCAAGAACAACUCUCAUCGACACUAUCUCAUGUAUCUCAUCGGUCACAUCCGCACAUAGCAUCCAUGCAUAUAACAUUAUCAACAAUUAUCAACAUUUUUCCUUUUAAAAAAAGUAUCUACAUGGCAUCCAUCCAUCUAUAAAUCCAUCCAUCUAUCUAUGCACCCAUCUAUCAAUCCAUCCAUCUAUCUAUGCAUCCAUCUAUCAAUCCAUCCAUCUAUCUAUGCAUCCAUCUAUCAAUCCAUCCAUCUAUCUAUGCAUCCAGCUAUCAAUCCAUCUAUCUAUACACACAUGGAGAGGAGGAGGGGGGCUUACCGGAGGGAGGGGCUCGGUGUGUUGUGGGAGGCGGCGGUGGAGGGGGCACCGGUCAGUGGAGGGGCGUCGGAGCAGAGGAGGAGGGGCGCUGGUCGGUGGGGAGCUGAGUGAAGAAACAACAGGGGGAAAUAUGCUUAAGUAGUUGACGUCACAUUUACCGAGUGCUUGUCGGUGUGGCACUCGAAAAAGAAAUCAACUCUAGAUCUAGGUCAGAUGAUUUACCGAGAGCCGCUCUCGGAAAAUACGUCCCCCCAAGAUCUAGCUUAGAUCCUUUACCGAGAGUAACCCUCGGAACAAGCAUACAUUACCGAGGGUCGUACUCCGACACUCGGUAAGUACUGCUCAAAUAUAUUUUUCCCUUCUCUUUGUGUUUUUGUUUGGCACUAUCUUUUUUGUAUCUCAUUCCAUGAAUUUUGAUGAUUUUUUUCAAAACUCAACUUUGAAGAGUGUGUAAAGUAAAAAACAUGAGAUCGAAGAAGAAGUUGUUGACCGUGGCCUACCCCCUCUAUCGGUGCUGGUCAACUUUCUAGACCGGCACCGAGAGAGAACUUUAAAGAAGUAUCUGAAUACUUCCCUCUCCGCGGAUUGCUCUUCGUGUGUCAACGACUGUCGCCGGCGGCCUCCGGGGGCUAGCACAUGCCACCAAAUCUUGCGUAGGCGGCCUCUCACAAGUCUGGAAGUGUUGUGGCGGUUGCAAACGCCCGGCACGCGUCUCCAGGAUGUGCCCCCCUCACGGACGGCGCCGCUGCCGGCACCUGGAGGGGGGAAACGGACGCGUCGGGUCUACACGGAUGGGGUCUUGUUGUGGCUUAGGCCCGGAUGUUGCUCCAAAGUGUUCCUAUCGGCUGACCUAACACCACCGGGUGGAGAGUUCCACUAGUCAAAGCCCGUUCGUGCAAAGUCAAAGGGCUAGAUCCUGUGGUCAAACGCUACAGGGUUAGGCGGGACGGGGGCCCUGGGAGGGUAGCAAUGCCACCGAAGCAUCGCACCGGGCCCUCAUACAUGCCAUACGGUGUGGUGGCAUGUCCGAAGAGGCGGCACGCCUCUCCGGGGUGUGCCCCACCUCACGACCGGCACCUGGAGGGGGGAAACAGACGCGUCGGGUCUACACGGAUGGGAUCUUGCUGUGGCUUUGGCCUAGACUUGGUCUGUCAUCUCGCAAUGGCAUGCACUAACACGGAGAAGCAGUUAUUCACCAUGGACUACACCCUCUCGGUGCCGAAUAACACCUUAGACCGCCGGGGCCACCGGAUGGGUGCUCGAUAUGGACACGCCUAAGGGGGGGAGAGCACCCCUACAUGCGUGUGGCCCAUGUAUAUGCAUGCAGGGGUGGUGUACUAUUUCAAUAAGCAACUCACGUCCUUGACGUGGCACGUGCCUCACAAACCACACAAACGGGCGGGAACGUCAAGGACCGGCUGCAUCCGUUCCCGAGACAGAAUCUUCGGCGGGUGAACCCGUGACAGAACGAGCCUAGACUUGGUCUGUCAUCUCGCGAUGACAUUCACUAACACGGAGUAGCAGUUAUUCACCGUGGACUACACCCUAUCUCGGUGCUGGUCAACUUUCUAGACCGGCACCGAGAGAGAACUUUAAAGAAGUAUCUGAACACUUCCCUCUCCGCAGAUUGCUAUUCGCGUGUCUACGACUGUGGCCGCCGGCCUCGAGGGGCUAGCACAUGCCGUCAAACCUUGCGUAGGCGCCCUCUCACAAGUCUGGAAGUGUUGUGGCGGUUGCAAACGCCCGGCCCGUGUCUCCGGGGUGUGCCCCCCCUCAUGGAAGGCGCCGCCGCCGGGACCUGGAGGGGGGAAACGGACGCGUCAGGUCUACACGGAUGGGGUCUUGCUGUGGCUUAGGCCCGAAUGUUGCUCCAAAGUGUUCCUAUGGGCUGACCUAACACAACCGGGUGGAGAGUUCCACUGGUCAAAGCCCGUCCCUGCAAAGACAAAGGGCUAGAUCGCGUGGUCAAACGCUACAGGGUUAGGCGGGACGGGGGCCCUGGGAGGGUAGCAAUGCCACCGGAGCAUCACACCGGGCCCUCAUACAUGUCGUACGGUGUGGUGGCAUAUCCGAAGAGGCUCCACUCCUCUCCGGGGUGUGGCCCCUGUCACGGCCGGCACCUGGAGGGGGGAAACGGACGCGUCGGGUCUACACGGAUGGGAUCUUGCUGUGGCUUUGGCCUAGACUUGGUCUGCCAUCUCGCGAUGACAUGCACUAACACGGAGAAGCAGUUAUUCACCGUGGACUACACCCUCUCGGUGCCGAAUAACACCCUAGACCGCUGGGGCCACCGGAUGGGUGCUCGAUAUGGAGACCGCCCGAGGGGGGAGGGCACCCCUACAUGCGCGUGGCCCAUGUAUAUGCAUGCAGGGGUGGUGUGCUAUUUGAAUAAGCAACGCACAUCCUUGAUGUGGCACGUGCCUUACAAACCACACACACGGGCGGGAACGUCAAGGACCGGUUGCGUCCGUUCCCAAGACAGAAUCAUCGGUGGGUGAUCCCGUGACAGAACGAGCCUAGACUUGGUCUGUCAUCUCCUGAUGACAUGCGCUAACACGGAGUUGUAGUUAUUCACCGUGGACUACACCCUCUCGAUGUCGAAUAACGCCCUAGACCACCGAGGCCACCGGAUGGGUGCUCGAUAUGGAGACCGCCCGAGGGGGGAGGGCACCCUUACAUGCGCGUGGCCCAUGCAUAUGCAUGCAGGGGUGGUGUGCUAUUUGAAUAAGCAACGGACGUCCUUGACGUGGCGCGUGCCUCACAAACCACACACAUGGGCGGGAACGUCGAGGAUCGGCUGCGUUCGUCCCCGAGACAGAGUCUUCGGUGGGUGAUCCCGUGACAGAACGGGACUAGACUUGGAAUGUUAUCUCAUGAUGAUAUGCACUAACACGAAGAAGCAGUUAUUCCCCGUGGCCUACCCCCUCUAGGUGCAGAACAACGCCCUAGACCGCCGGGGCCACCGGAGGGGUGCCGGUCUCUAGAACCGGACGAGGCUCGUCCGAAGAAGAAAACACAAGACGGUAAUUAUGAUGUGCUAAGGUUGUUUGCCAAGCAUGAAAGAAAACAACAACAAAAAAGUAUAAUACAUAUUAUAGAGAAUGCACAAGAAGGAAAGAGAUGUAGGUGGAUGGUUUACCGAGAGGAGCUCUCGCAAAAGGUGGAAAUUAUCGAGAGCUAAGAAUCAACUCUCGGUAAUGACAGGUCAAAUUUUUUCCCCUCUCUUUUCGUCUUUUUUUGCACUAUCUUUUUUGCAUCUCAUAUUUCAUAUGCUUUUACGACCAAAGUUUAUAAAUUCCAUGACUUAUGAUGAUUUUUUUCAAAACUCAACUUUAAAGAGUGUGUAAAGUAAAAAAACAUGAGAAGAAGAAGUUGUUGACCGUGGCCUACCCCCUCUCUCGGUGCCGGUCAACUUUCUAGACCGGCACUGAGAGAGACCUUUAAAGAAGUAUCUGAACACUUCCCUCUCCGAGGAUUGCUCUUCGCGUGUCUAUGACUGUGGCCGGCGGCCUCCAGGGGCUGGCACAUGCCGCCAAAUCUUGCGUAGGCGGCCUCUCACAAGUCUGGAAGUGUUGGGGCGGUUGCAAACGCGCGACCCGUGUCUCCGGGGUGUGCCCUCCCUCACGGACGACGCCGCCGCCGGUACCUGGAGGGGGGAAACGGACGCGUCGGGUCUACACGGAUGGGGUCUUGCUGUGGCUUAGGCCCGGAUGUUGCUCCAAAGUGUUCCUAUGGGCUGACCUAACACAACCGGGUGGAGGGUUCCACUGGUCAAAGCCCGUCCAUGCAAAGUCAAAGGGCUAGAUCCCGUGAUCAAAUGCUACAGGGUUAGGCGGGACGGGGGCCCUGGGAGGGUAACAAUGCCACUGGAGCAUCACACCGGGCCCUCAUACAUGCCGUACGGUGUGGUGGCAUGUUCGAAGAGGCGGCACGCCUCUCCAGGGUGUGGCCCCCCUCACGACCGGCACCUGGAGGGGCGAAACGGACGCGUCGGGUCUACACGGAUGGGAUCUUGCUGUGGCUUUGGCCUAGACUUGGUCUGUCAUCUCACGAUGACAUGCACUAACACAGAGAAGCAGUUAUUCACCGUGGACUACACGCUCUCUGUGCCGAAUAAUGCCCUAGACCACCGGGGCCACCGGAUGGGUGCUUGAUAUGGAGACCGCCCGAGCGUGGGGAGGGCACCCCUCCAUGCGCGUGGCCCAUGUAUAUGCAUGCAGGGGCGGUGUGCUAUUUGAAUAAGCAACGCACGCCCUUGACGUGGCACGUGCCUCACAAACCACACACACGGGCGGGAACGUCAAGGACCGGCUGCGUCCGUUCCUGAGACAGAAUCUUCGGUGGAUGAUCCCGUGAAAGAACGAGCCUAGACUUGGUCUGUCAACUCGCGAUGACAUUCACUAACACGGAGUAGCGGUUAUUCACCAUGGACUACACCCUCUCUCGAUGCCGGUGAACUUUCUAGACCGGCACCGAGAGAGAACUUUAAAGAAGUAUCUGAACACUUGCCUCUCCGCAGAUUUCUCUUCGCGUAUUUACGACUGUGGCCGGCCGUCUCUAGGGGCUAGCACAUGCCGUCAAACCUUGCGUAGGUGGCCUCUCACAAGUCUAGAAGUGUUUUGGCGGUUGCAAACUCCCGGCACACGUCUCCGGGGUGUCCCCCCCCCCCUCACGGAUGGCGCCGCCGCCGGCACCUAGAGGGGGGAAAUGGACGCGUCGGGUCUACACGGAUGGGUUAGGCGGGACAUGGGACCUUGGGGGUAGUAAUGCCACCGGAGCAUCGCACCGAGCCCUCAUACAUGUCGUAUGGUGUGGUGGCAUAUCCGAAGAGGCGGCACACCUCUCAGGGGUGUGGCUUCCCUCACGGCCGGCACCUGGAGGGGGAAACGGACGCGUCGGGUCUACAUGGAUGGGAUCUUGCUGUGGCUUUGGCCUAGACUUGGUCUAUUAUCGCGCGAUGACAUGCACUAACACGGAGAAGCAGUUAUUCACCAUGGACUACACCCACUCAGUGCCGAUCAACGCCCUAGAUUGCCGGGGCCACCGGAAGGGUGCCGGUCUCUAGAACCGGGCGAGUCCCAUCAUUUGAAAAAGAAAACACAAGAUGGUAAUUAUGAUGUGAUAAGGUUGUUUGCCAAGAAAAAAAUAAAACAAAGUAUAAUACAUAUUAUGGGGAAUGCACAAGAAGGAUGAUUUUCCGAGAGUCGCUCUCGGAAAAUGAGGUCAUUGCCGAGUCCUGCUGGACGGCGCUCAGUAACUACUAUCGGUGCGGCUCUCGAAAAAGCCCCCGAGAUCUAGGUUAAGACUUUUAUCGAGUGUCGCUUAAUGUUGGCUCUCGGAAAUGUUUCCGGCGGGGAAUUAUGCAAAAUUUCCCCCUCGCGCGCGCUCACUCCUCUCUUCUCUCUCUGUUUCUCUCGCCCCCGCCCCCUCUGUCCGCCGCCGCCCCCUAGUGCCGCCGCCCCAUCCGGCGAGCUCUGCCGCCGCCGCCGCCACCAGGAGUGCCUCCCCCGCCCCUCCACCUCCACCGAGCCCCCCUCCCACCGCCACCUCCACCAAGCUCGUCCACCGCCACCGUCUCGNNNNNNNNNNNNNNNNNNNNNNNNNNNNNNNNNNNNNNNNNNNNNNNNNNNNNNNNNNNNNNNNNNNNNNNNNNNNNNNNNNNNNNNNNNNNNNNNNNNNNNNNNNNNNNNNNNNNNNNNNNNNNNNNNNNNNNNNNNNNNNNNNNNNNNNNNNNNNNNNNNNNNNNNNNNNNNNNNNNNNNNNNNNNNNNNNNNNNNNNNNNNNNNNNNNNNNNNNNNNNNNNNNNNNNNNNNNNNNNNNNNNNNNNNNNNNNNNNNNNNNNNNNNNNNNNNNNNNNNNNNNNNNNNNNNNNNNNNNNNNNNNNNNNNNNNNNNNNNNNNNNNNNNNNNNNNNNNNNNNNNNNNNNNNNNNNNNNNNNNNNNNNNNNNNNNNNNNNNNNNNNNNNNNNNNNNNNNNNNNNNNNNNNNNACUCAAUCUCGUUUUUUUGGAAAUAAAAGGGGUUCCCCCCUCUCCAUUACAAUAAAAGGUGUAUAUAUAUGCAUAUAUAGUGAAUAAUGUGUGUGAGUGUGUGCUUUUUAUGUGUGUGUGUUAGUGGUAGGAGAUGGGACCCUAACGGGUCUUUGGCGUAGGUUUUAGGGGAAGGAGGGGGCUGGACAUGGCGAAGCUCGCGGUCGCCAGUGACAAGGCGCCAUCGUGCGCGAGAGGGAGAGGCGACGGUGGCGCAAGAGGCGACUAGGGUUAGGUCUCCCGGCUCCCUAAGGGAAGCCGAGCAAAUAAUGAUUGCUUCUUUGCUUGAUUAGCUGGACCGGCAUGGCCGGCGCGGUUUAGGCGGCCGGGGCCGGCGCGGGCCAGUAUAGCCACUGCGGUGCUGGGGUGGGCGCGGGAGGCGCGGUUGGCGCCACAAGAGCCGGCGCGGGCCACUGUGUGUGUGUGUGCAUGUGUGAGUGAGUGUGUGAUGUGUGUGUAUGGAUAUGUGAGUGUGUUUGUGUGUGGGGUGUGUGUGAGUGAGUGUUAUUGAUGUUUGUUUGUUUGACAUAUGAUUGACACAAUUUCAUACUUUCAUGCAGGACAUGCAUCUAUUUUGACAAGAGAGAGUGAAUUCUGUUGCACGCUUCAAGGGUAAUCUCUUCCCGUUCAUGUGUAGGUUUUCAUUAUUUGUAGAUCACCUAAAUAGUCGUGUAACCUAGGUGUAUCCCGUUUGGAAGGGUUGUAUCUAUAAAUAUGCAAGUUUUUGCAUAUUUAUAACCUUGACUCUUUCGAAUUGUCCAUGUUUUCCAUGGACAACCCGAGGACGUGUAGGCGGGUCGUUUUCAUGAUGUACUAAGAUCCGAGACAGAAUUUCGACAGUGUCUCCUUGUUGUUCUCUAGAUACACAUCCUCUUGGCUUAUUGUUGAGACGUGUAUUUGGAGAACAACGGGGAGGUGCUGCCGAAAUUUUGUCUCGGGUCGGAGUACGUCAUGAAAGCGGACCCAGCCUACACAUUCUCGGGUGGGAUUAGGACCUAUCUUUACCUAUUACAUAGCUCAGUGCAUGUCGUAAAACUUGAUGGAAUCACUUGUUAUAAAAAAAAUUAUGUGUGUGUUUCACUUUAUAUCAGAGGAUGGAAGAAUGUGAGUGGAUGUACACCGGACAUCCCAGCAUGGAGGGUAUGACCCCUGAGUGGAGGUCGAAGACCAAUGAUUUCCUGGAAUUAGUAUUUGCUGGAGAAACGCCAGUUCGUGGAAUUUGGUGCCCAUGCACGGAGUGUGAUAACCAGAAUGAAAGAGAUAAGAUUACUAUGAGUAAACACUUAGGCAAAUAUGGGUUUACGCCAGGCUAUUACCGGUGGAUCUUUCACGGUGAGACAGAACAGUCCAUGGCGGAGGUGGUGCGACAACGCAUCGGCGAAUAUGAUACUCGGAUUGAAAACAUGUUAGAUGACAUCCGCCGUGCGGAUCCGCGAGAGGACCCGAACUCCAAGGAGACGCCGAAAAGCCCUGAAGAGUAUCAUGCAGCUUUGUUUGUGGCACAAAAACCCCUUCACGCCCAUAUAAAGGUUACUCAACUAGAUGGCAUUGCAUGCCUAAUGGCCCUGAAGGCAAACCAUAACAUGAGCAUAAUUUGCUUCAAUGAUUUAUUGUCAGUUAUUGCUAGCCUGUUGCCUAAAGAACAUAUAUUGCCAAAGAACAUGUAUGAGUCGAACAAAAUCCUCAGUUCACUUAAGAUGCCAUAUGAGCAAAUACAUGCUUGUCCAAACGGAUGCAUGCUAUUUAGAAAUGAACAUGAAGAUACGAAUUAUUGUGUCAAGUGCAAAUCCUCUAGGUAUAUUGAGGUAAUAGAUGAUGAUGGUAGCAAGAGGCAGCUCACAAUUGCCGUCAAUAUCCUUCGAUAUCUUUCAUUCACAGAAAGGAUCCAGAGGCUUUAUAUGACCGAGGAAACUGCCCAAUAUAUGAGAUGGGUCGCCGAAGGGAAGAUGUACAAUACAAAAAAGAUGCAACAUCCACGGGAUGGUGAAGCAUGGAAGAAAUUUGUUGAAAUUCAUAAGAAAACAUAUGACUGGAAGAGUGUAGCUGUUGGGAUAACAACCGACGGGUUCAAUCCAUAUGGUUUGAUGGCUGCCAUAUACAGUUGUUGGCCAGUAUAUGUUAUCCCCCUGAAUCUGCCCCCUGGCAUUUGCAUGCAACGACAUCACAUGUUCCUGACGUUGAUAAUUCCAGGUCCUAACUAUCCCGGGAAGCAUAUGAGUGUGUAUAUGGAGCCAUUGGUGGACGACUUGUUGCUUGGAACAACGGGGUCCGAACAUACGAUGUCGUUUCAAAGAAGCACUUCAAUAUGCAUAUCUGGUACCACACAUCGCUACAUGACCUACCGGCACGUGCAAUAUUUUGUGGUUGGUGUGUAAAGGGGAAGUGGCCUUGCCCAUUGUGUCGAUAGCGUGUGACUUUCAUUUGGCUGGCUAAGGGUCACAAGUAUGUAUGCUUUGACCAACAUCGGCAGUUCCUUCGUCUUGAUCACCCAUACAGGCAAGACGCUACGCACUUCCAAAAAGGUGUUAUUAUUGAUGACCCGCCACCACCUAUUAUGACCGGUGCCCAGCUUAAGGAUGAGUUAGAUGUUCUCGAGGAAAAGCUCGAUGGGAAAGGUUUUGUGGGGUAUGGAGAGACACACCAGUGGACUCACAUUCCAAGCUUAUGGAGGCUCCCUUACUUUAAAGAUCUUCUACUUCCACACAACAUUGAUGUAAUGCACACUGAAAAGAAUAGUGCGGAGGCCUUACUCGGCACGCUCCUCGACACCGAGAAGUCAAAGGAUAACAUUCAGGCUAGGAUCGAUCAAGCCAAACUAUGCAACAUGCCAAAAUUAAAUUUGGUGCCUCGUGCAAAAGGUAAUUCUUGGAAGAAGCCACCAGCCCCUUUCACCCCUUCAAUGCCCCAAAGGAAGGAAAUUCUCCAAUGGAUUGUGAACAACUUGUACUUCCCUGAUGGAUAUGCAGCUAAUAUCAUGAGGGGAGUGAAUAUGGCUACAAUGCGAAUAGGAGGCCUCAAGAGUCAUGACUACCAUGUAUGGCUUGAGCGGAUAAUGCAUGUGAUGAUUUGAGGGUAUGUCAGAGAGGAUACUUGGCGAGUGCUGGAGGAGUUGAGCUACUUCUUCCGUCAGAUUUGUGCCAAAGAUUUAGAUUAUGAAGUGGUUGCAAAGUUGGAGGAACAAGCACCUGAGUUGCUAUGCAAGUUAGAGAUGAUAUUUCCGCCAGGUUUCUUUAAUCCGAUGCAACAUAUGAUCUUACAUCUUGCGUAUGAGGCUAGAAUGGGAGGACCUGUGUAGUUCCGAUGGCAGUAUGCACCUGAACGGGAGUUCAAACAUCUUCGUGGGAAAUGUAAGAAUAAAGCCCGCAUUGCAGCCUCCAUAGUCGAGGCCUACCUGAACGAGGAGGUGGCCACGACCACGACAAAGUACUAUCAUGACAGUAUUCAGACUAGGUUAAAUCCAGCUCCUCGUUACAAUGAAGAACCCACCAGUAAUGUUUCCGACCUUAGCCUCUUCGAAGGCCAAGGUGGAAAAGCAAGUGGACCGAAGCCUAAGAACUUUUCACCUACUAAGUGGUCGACUAUUAUGAUCUAUGUCUUGACCAACAUGGAAGAAGAGCAACCGUACAUAAAGUAAGUGUAGAACACCUUUAUUGACAACUACUCACUAGUCUUGAGUUCUAACUCGAAUUCUUCAAAUUGCUAGGGAAUUCCAGAACGAAUUCUGGAAGCUACCAUAGCCUCCUAGCGACGAAGAAUCAGCAAACCUUCUUGAAGAUACCAAUGCUGAUGGCGGUUUCAUUUCUUGGUUCUCAAGAAAAGUAACUUUUCUAACUUUAUGUUACUUCAAGUUGAUCUUACUUGCCUGUAAUGCUUCCACUAAUGAACCAGACAAUUUCCUAUUAAUCUUGUAGGCAUAUCAGGAGGUUGAUAUGGACGCCAAAGUGAGAGAAGUAGCCAAAGGUUUUGAAUACGAGGCCAAGUCAUAGGCUUACGGCAUGAAUGGGUAUCGCUUCCACACUGAUAAACACACGUGUGAGAGGCCCAACCGAAGGUCAAUAAAUAGUGCGGUCUAUUGUCUAGGGACAGAUGGACGUCACUACUAUGGAACCAUCGAAGAAAUUUAUGAAGUAUUGUGGUAUACAGGGAGUGAAGCCCAUCGUAUUCAGAUGCAGCUGGCUCAAUCCUGAGAAAGUGAGACGACCCCUAGUAUUGGCUUUGUCGAAGUUGAACGAGCUUCGAAAUAUGCAGGAAAUGAUGUCUAUAUUAUGUCUCAACAAGCUAAACAAGUGUUUUAUCUCCCAUUUGCGUGCACAUCUAUGGAAUAUAUCGAUCUCUUGAAGUGGGAUGUCGUGUACAAGGUACCCCCGCAUAUCAAGGUACCUACCCCAAACAAGGACGAUUACCAUAUAAACCCUAACACAUACAAGGGAGAGUUCUUUCAAGAAGCAGACACUUACAAAGAUGAAGAUGAUGCAAAGGAAUAUGAUGGUGUGCAUCACAAACAUGAUGGUAUGGAACAUGAGGCCAUGGAUGACAUGGAAGUAGAUAAUGCAGAGGAUGAAUACGAGGAUGUUUCUGACCCUCGAGAUUUGGCAUUACUUAUGCGAUGGCACAUGGGGCUAGAUGAGGAUGAGGGCCCCCCUGAAGACUUAGAGGAUGAAUGUAUGAACGGGCGUGAUAGCGAUGAUGAAAGCCCUGAUCCAAAUGUUGCACCUAAUAUUGACCCUUAUUUCUAACAACUCCAUGUAAUCGUGUGAGAACUCUAUGUAUGUGUGUCACAAGUCUAUGUAUUCGUCUGUGUAACAACUCUAUGUAUUCAUGUGUGUAACAACUCUAUGUAUUCGUGUGUGCAACAACUCUAUGUAUUUGUGUGUGUAACAACUAUAUGUAUUAUUGUGACAAUUCCAUUUAUUCUUCAUAUGUGAUAUAUUUAUUGUAUUUACAUCAAGUUGUAUCAUCUGUACUAACUAGUUUGUUCUUCUUCGUAUUAGGUGAUUGAACAUGACAGGUAGCAAGAAGAUUCCAAAGGAAAGUUUGAAAAAAGUGAAUGAUCUGUACAAUGAUCAACCUGCUCGACCGGUGAAAGCGGUGGCCGCUCCUUCAUCAGUUGCCACAACCGCCAAGAAGGCCAAAGGAUUGGCGGGUCUAGACACCCGUCCGGCAAAAUGUGUGAAACAAGGUUGAGUACCACGCGGGGGAGGAGUAGGAGGCGAACGAGGAGGGGGAGUAGGUGAGGCAGGAGGAGGAGGCGGACGAGGAGGCGGACGAGGAGGGGGAGUAGGUGAGGCAGGAGGAGGAGGCGGACGAGGAGUACGUAAAGCAGCCCGGAGUAGAGCACCUCUUUCUUCUCCUCGACCCUCCGAUGCAGUGCUUCAUCGUGCUCGGGAGGAGGAAAUAGAGGAUGAGGAUGAGGCGUGUGAGGAGGAGGACGAGGAGGAUUUUGCGGAGGAGGUGGUGGAGGAUGAGGAGGAGGAGGUGGUGGAGGACGACGCCGCCAAGAGGAGGCUGGUUGUUCGUCGGGUUUCUGAGGGUGGGGAUGGACCCUCACGGGUGACAGAGCACCAUGAGGUGAGCGGUUCGCAACCGAGCGGUUCAACUAUCAGCACUAAUUCCAGAGGGAAAGUGUGGUUGCGUGGUCCUUCAAAGCUUCCAAGACGUCCAUAUGUGCAUAGAGACGUGUUGAUUAAACCAAUGGGAGAGAAGUGAGUGGUUAUCUCGACUCAUCCCAUAUAAAUUGUACCUUUUGUCAUUUCCUCACAUAUAAUAUGACUUCACUCUUCGAAAUGCAGAAGCUUAGUAAAAGGUGGUGAGAGGCGUCUGCCACGGUUGCCGAGUGGCAUCAUUGGGGGUCUUUGUAGGUUAAAUUAUCCUGGACUGGUCACUUUGCUGAACGGUAUCAUUGAGCCAACUUGGUCAUGGAAUCACUACAAACUUGCACCGGAUUUCUUGGAUAUGCGUUAGAGGGUUUUUGAAAACAGAGCCAUGCGAGUGGUCAACGAUUUCUGGGUAAGUCCUUUCAAACACCUAAAUGUCAAUACCAAAAGGUUUAAAUUUGCCAUAGUCAUGAUUUAAUCCUUCUCACAUGUAUGCAUGUUUGUAGGAUUUCUAUACAUGCGUUGAGGGUCAUAAGGAUUGUGCAAAUGUGGUGGUUGAGAAUAUUGCCAAGAAACUAGUCCACGACAUGCACUAUGAGGAGCGCGUCCGGUUAGUGGUCAAGUAUCACGCAGACUAUCACAACCAUAGGAUUUCCAAACAGGAGGCUCGAGGGACGCAUCUUUCACGGGACAAUUACUUCAAGGCAAGUGACGAUGGAUGCUUGCUAUUUCCUACACUACGGAAAAAUUAGAAUCCUUACUAAGAUGUAUUUGUUUAAUCUAUAGGUGAUUCCUCGGUGGUGCACUGACAAACGUCCGUGUUGGGAGAAGAUCCUCGAACGGUGGAUAGAUCCAGGGUGGCAGGAUGAACACAAAGUAAUAUCCGAACGGCAUAAGUUGAUGGGGGUCGAGGACACCGUCAAGGCAACCUCACCAUCCCAGGUGUCGUCUCAAAACAUGUAGGCAACCACAUCCUUUUCUUUCCAUCAUGUUCUCUUUCAUUUGUGAGCAUUCCCUUGAUUUUUUGGAUCACUUUCUUUUGUAGAAAGAAGACACUGGCAAGGAUAUCACUUACUUCGAGGCAUGGACCAUCAAACGUACCAAAGACGACAAGGACAAGGACCCUCUCCACCCGGAGAUGGACUGGAUCAGCUCUAAAGCCCGGUCAGAUGGAGAGAACUACACCAAAAAAAUUGAAGGAGACAUACGGGCCUGACGUUGAUCCUCACGUGCUACCGUUUGACCCACUUGUGGCCAUUGCCGCGGCAGGCGGUAGACCGAAUGGCCGGAUGGCGGUUCACCUCAAUUCUGUCAUAACCUCCUCCCUUCCGAGAGUCAACACGCUCCGUGCUAUGAGUACUGGCUCUACUCCUACCGUAGAGCGUCACGUACCACAUUCCGUGAGCAUUAUUGAGGAUAUUCAGGUCAGUGCUUCUUCAUUGAUCCUUCAUGGUCCUUCUUCAUUGAUCCUUCUUCAUUAUUGAGGAUAUUUGCAUUUCAACAUGAAUGACAUUUGCAUUGCCAUAUUGUAGACUCGAUUGAUUGACACCGAGAAAGAACGAGAUGAAAACCGGGCCAAGCUGAAGGCACAAGAUGAUCUAGUGAAGUCUUUACAACAUAUGGUGGCCAAUCUUUAUUCCAUGCAAGGCCAACCAGUGCCAGAGAUGCCACCGACGCCAGAGUGGAACAUUGUGAGUUUUGUUCAAACUAUUUCUAUCACCAUUUUUGGCAUUACCAUAUGCAUUCAUCUCACUAUUGGGUCAAUCCAUCACAGCUCAACCCAUCACAAGGGUCGAACAAUGUUCCGGUAGUUCCACCUCAAGUUUGUGGAGUUGGGGCAGCAAAGGGAAUGAUGCCUUCUAAUGUUGAUGUUAUCACUCCGGUUGAUGGAGUUGGGGCAGCAAACGGAAUGAUGCCUUCUAAUGUCGAUGUUAUCACUCCAAUCUCCAAAAUCGCGUGAACUUCAUGUUAUGUUUGAAACUGUUCCUUGUAUGUUGAGAACUCUUGCAUCUUGAGACUUGUAAACUUGUGGUCUAUUGCUUUGAUGCACUAUUGCUUUUAUGUGGAAUGUUUUUCAGAAUCAAUCAUUGCUUCUUUUGUUCAAUGAUGCCUAUAUGUGACAUGUUCUAUGUGUGAUGAACUAUAUGCUGCUGCUGUAUAUGUUUCGCUGCAGGAAAGAAACAGAAACAGGGAAAAAAGGCUCCUGGGCACACCAUUGCCGAGGGCUGCUCUCGGCAAUGACUAUGAAACUGGACCAGAACGCACCCUUUACCGAGAGGACUCUCGGUAAAGGAUAAUAACCUGUAGCCCUCUUGGCAACUUUACCGAGAGGCCUCUCGGUAAAGGAUAAUAACCUGUAGCCCUCCUGGCAACUUUACCGAGAGGACUCUCGGUAACGGAAAAAGAAUUGCCGACGGUGGCUCUCGGCAAAAUAUUUUCAUGGCUUUUAGGAGAAGUGACGUGGCCCUCCCCUAUUGGCUGAGUUUGCCGGGAGUCACACUCGGCAAACAUAGCGUUUGCUGACAACGGCGCUUGGCAAAGUUGGCCCUCUUUGCCGAGAGUGGCGCUCAGCAAAGAUGGCCCUCGGCCUGUCGGCCUGGCCCCACGUGUCAGGAGCUGACACGUGUCAGCCACCUACUAGCUGUAUUUGCCGAGCGCUGCGCUCAGCAAAGAUGGCCCUCGGCCUGUUCGCCUGGUCCCACGUGUCAGGAGCUGACACGUGUCAGCCACCUAUUGGCUGUCUUUGCCGAGCGUGGCUCUCGGCAAAGAUGGCCCUCGGCCUGUUCGCCUGGUCCCACGUGUCAGGAACUGACACACGUCAGCCAUCUAUUGGCUGACUUUGCCGAGCGUGGCGCUCGGCAAAGAUCGCACUCGGCAUGUUUGCCUGGUCCCACGUGUCAGGAGAUGACGCGUGUCAGCCACCUAUUGGCUGACUUUGCCGAGAGCGGCGCUUGGCAAAGAUGGACCUCGGCCUGUUCGCCUGGUCCCACAUGUCAGGUGCUGACACGUGUCAGCCACCUAUUGGCUGUCUUUGCCGAACGUGGCGCUCGGCAAAGAUGGCCCUCGGCCUGCUCCCCCUGGCCCCACGUGUCAGGAACCGCCGUCACCAUCUGUUAUGUGUUAGCUACUUUAUUUUGCCGAGCGGUACUGUUUGACUCUCGGCAAAGUCUUUACCAAGUGCCCGUGUUCUGGCUCUCGGCAAACUCCUGUUUGCCGAAGAGGUGCAUGUCGGGUGGCUUUUGCCAGGGGUGACACUUGGCAAAGGCUUUGCCGGCGAUUUUCGGCCCUUUGCCGAGUGUCCGUGGCACUCGGCGUACCACAGGAUUCCAGUAGUGAGGUCACUGUGAACUUUUUUAGGGAAAUAGAAAAAAUAUUUCGCUCAAAAGAAAAAGGCAUUUUUUCUUCUAUUCCUAAAAAUAGCAUAUUUUUCCUUCUAAGAAAAAGUUCCUACGUAGUUUCUAAUAAAUGUUUUUUUUCUAGAGGCAAUAAAUAAAUAAAAUAAAGCAAAUUCAAUUCCUCCACCCAAUAAAACAGAGAUAUGAGGCGGAUCAGAUAGCAAAAUAUUGAUGCAGCAAUACUCUCAACAGCUUUGUUCCAGAGUGGAGUUUCUUCUAAACAUGAUAGGUACAAGUAGAACACCAGCCACGCAAAUAAUAUAACUGUAACUCUGUUCCAUCUUCUAUGUACCAACUACUACUCUAAUCUCGACAUCGAUAUCCUCCAAACAGCAUAUUAAAUUUUUUCCUAUGUAAAACUGAGAUCUUAAGUUCAUAGCAGAAAUGGUUAGAAUUUGUGAAUUGCAACUAUGUACUGUGUCAGGAAUUAUUAUAUGCAAAGCAAAUCUUAAGUUCAUAGCAGAAACGGUGAGCUGCAAAUCGCAUCUCUAGUUCUCCUUUUUUUUAUAUAUAUAAUUCUAGCAUGUUGCACUGCACUGACACCAAUGAGGAUAAAUUAGCUCUGAAAUUUUCGUUAUCACUUGCUUAAUCAAAUUUCAGAGUUUUUAAUCGUGGCCUUAUUCCUUCUAUCAAUGGAAGUUGAAUUUGUCAAACAUGAUUGAGUUAUUCCACACUGGACUGAGCAGCAUGCGAAAAAUCUAAUUAUCUAUCUCCGUCAUUCUCGCUCUCAAAAGUAAAGGCAGAAAAAGGAGGAAUUUUGGUCAACAUGUCAGUUCCUAGGGUGGAACUGAAACAUAUUGUGCAAGUUGGCUACUCUAAUAUUGGUGCAGAGAUUACCAGAAGAAAUAUGCAAGAGUGGAGUAGCAGAACAAAGAAGUGCACUUUGGAUGUGUUUGAUAAAGAGAAAUAAACAGAAAUUUCGUUGUACUAUUAGCAACAAAACUGUAUUCUAAUGUCGCCAAGGUCUGAAGUAAUAGUGCACUCCUUAUAUGAAGGCGAAAUGGUUCAUAGUGAAAUAUGAGUAAGACCCUUCAGAAAAUUAUAAGCAACAUAUAAGAUAUAACACCAUCGAGCCGGCAAGGUACAACCCUCUCCUGUACACUGUACAUGCUAAACAAAAAUAGGUGUAUGGAAAGUAAAAUUGUGUCAAAUAUAUUAAGUUUAUUGUAUGGUUUGAUCUAAUCUAAUCAACACAUAUAUCCUCCAACUGCAUAUUGUGCCGGGCAAAAAUUAUGUAAACUACUGAAUCUACAAAAACCAUCUAGAAAUAGCAGCAACAUAUUGUGUCCAAUAAUUGCAUUCAGCCAGUACAAACAAUAUAAGUGCCACAUAACUAGGUAAGACAAUCAUCUCCAAUAGAUACAGGACAAUUAUUUUCAGUAGUGUGUGUACUACUGUAGCAAGGGGUACUCCCACCAGCCAGAAUGUUCACACAAGUAAGCUCUUCAGCCAACAUUUAGGCCUGCAUUAUUUGUUGUGGUGGAUAUGUUGGGCUGCUAUCAGAAGGGUGGUGGUGGUGGUGGUGAGCCGCCUGGGCCCGGGGGUCCGAAGAAUGGGGCGCAGCAGUCUUGGAGCAGGCAGCAACAACAGAGGAGGUAGAACUGCACAAGAAGUAUUCGUCCUGAGUUUCAGAGAAUAUAAACAAUCUGUUUCAAACAGGGAAAAAAAUUCAAAGGAAGAAAUAUAAACGAUCGACUAAUGUAUGCUUCGCCACUUAUAUAUUGCAAUUUGAUUGAGUUGACCACUAAACCACUAACCAUCUAACUGAAUGAAUUGCUUUCUCUUUUCUUUUGGAGAUGUUGAUGUUGAUAAUACUAAUUUGAUGAUUUCGCUGGCAAAAAUGCACAGUUUAAAUUUCUGUUAGUAGCUGAGGAUUCAACUUACCAGGACCCGAAGAAGCCACCAAACCAAGGCCCCCAAGAACCAGGGCCAGGGCCUCCCCAACCUGGUCCUCCAGGCCCACGAGGACCCAUUCCACCAACACAGAAACAACUGGUUAAUACAGACUACAGCUUCACAAGAACUCAGCCAGGACACAAUACAAGAGUUGAUGCCCCAAUUGGAGAUGAAGAAGAAUUUAUAGAUGUAGGGUGAGAAUAAGUAG